rnacentral:lncRNA from 1 species
ACUCAAAAGAGUCUUGGGUCAUGGGGAGAGGAGCCGAGCCUAAGGAUUCAUGUCAAGUUAAAUUAUUUGCAAAGCAGAAAGGUUAGACAUUGGAAGCAAAAGGGCGGUGAGCACAGCUAGAAAAAGUGCUUUAUCGACACAUGCUUUUGUUAAAGAGCAAUAUCAUAUCUUUCCACGAGUUUAGACACUUUCCUUCUCUUAAAUCAUAAUAUGUGGAUAUCACAAAUAUUACUUUACGUGUCACUGACUCAACCCCAGAAGUAUCCACCAAAGAUCUCUUUUUUAAUCAUAAGGCUUAAUUAAUAAUUUAGUAAAUUUAAUAAUCAUUUUUUUACAGAUAAUUCUUCAUGGGAAACUCAUGAAAUGACAUGUGAACUGUUUUGUGAAUUGGGUAUAGAUUGAUUAUCUAUAAUUAUAACCGAGGAAGCAUGGAAACCCAGAUUCAAACCGACAUGCCACGUCCCUCCAACUUCUUUAAUGGUACGUGUGGUCACUUUAUAUUGACUCUCAAGCACCAGGACAGACAGAGCCAAGUUGCAUUCACAUUACAAAUCAUUCAAUCAGAUCAGCAAAUGGGCAAUCAAUAUACCUCAAAGGUUCCUUUUUCUCCAUCUAUAAAUAGGGGUUACUCACACUUCACUCAUCCAUCCCUCCAGCAAACAAGCUUCUUUUGAGUCUCUCAUUGCUUCCCAGUUUUCAUUCCCCUAAAGUAAUGGCUUACUCCAAGACGUUUCUCCUUCUGGGUCUUCUAUUCGCUGUUGUCCUUAUCCUCUCCUCUGAGGUGUCGGCCAGAGAGCUAGCCGAGGCUGCACAUACCCGUGAGUUUCCCACUUUUUUUUACACACUUGUUAUAUCAAUUUACAGCUGAUGUACUGUGACUAAUUCAACUAAUCCAAUUUUUUUUUUUUGUUCUAAUGACAGAAGGGAGUGUGGAAGACGCUAAGUCCUGGGGACAUGGGCAUGGCCAUGGACAUGAACACGAGCAUGGCCACUGGGGACAUGAACAUGGGCACGGCCAUGGGCAUGGGCAUGGGCAUGGACACCACGGCCAUGGUGGUGCUGGUGAGACUGUGGAGAAUGAAACUGAAGCUGGCGAGAAUUAGAUAGCAUUUCUAGCUGCUGUAUUUUCACGCCCAUGGGUGGAAGUAGGUUGUGUGGUUUAUGUGAGUUUGUAUGUGAAUAAGGCAUGUGCUUGUCAGUGGUUGCCACCAAUGUUCCUCUAGGAAGAUGGUUGUGUUGCUUUGACAAGAUGUUAAAGCAUGUGUGAAACUUGCAGAUGUCAACUUAAUUAUUGUCCUGAAAUUAGAACUUUUUCCAAGUCCUUUGUCUCUAUAAGCAAAGUAAGCAAAAUAAGUAAGGUAAAAGCAGAAAGAUCAAACAGGAUUUCUCUGCAUAAUUAAGUAUCUCCAUUGAUCUUUUUUAAAUGAAGACUAAAUAUUUGUGGGUUCAGACCUCUUUACAGGUAUUUGUGGGUUCUUGAUUUCAUUGUUCCAUAUGCUCUUACUUCUCAUUGAAAAAAAGUUUUAAGUUAAAUUGAUAAUUAAAUAAUAAGUUUUAAGAUAAUAGAAUUUAAUUUAAAAUUAAUGAUCUUAAAUCAUUAAAUAUUAAGCAUGACCAUAUUAAUCCCACCAAACAAAGUAGUUGGCCAUAUAUGAUUUGCGUUUACCCAUAAUUGAAUAUUGAUUAAAUCAUGUUUAAUAUAGUGAAAUACGUAGAUAGAAAUGAACAAGUAUAGUGAUACAGCUUUGUUCUAAUAGACAUAACAAGGAAAUGAAUACAAAUAGUAUUUUCACCAUCAUAUUGUACAAAAUCAAAUACGUGGGAGAAUCCAUCCAAAGGAGCAACACAACAGAGUUAGCGAUAAGCUUGAAGAACACUUGUAAAGUUGGUGGACAUAAGGACAAAUAUAAGAUGACGUGAGAGGGGACAUCAUCAUUUUUGUAUCUGUCACGUGAGUAAAGUCGAGUCAUAAAGAAUGCUGCCCAAUAGAUGUAGGGCACCAGCCCAUAAACUGCAUGCAUAUGAAGUUGAAUGUUAAAGCUCAACCCCAGCACCUAUCAGCUAUGGGUCGGUCACUCAAUUUUUUGGGACUGGGUGAAGUGAGCAGGGACGUAUGCGAUGCAUAGGACAUGGUUGGAUAUUAAUUUGCAUGAAAUUUUUGAGCUCCAAGCCUGCAACUUGAUAUGGUAAUAUGUAAACACUGAAAAGGAAAUGUUAAACUAACAUAUGAUAAUUACCAAGCAAAAGAUUUGGACCGUUUAAGAGGAGACUAAAAAUAUGUAUGUGCAAUUCCCUGAUUGAUGAUAUCUUUAUAAUAGGUAUCGAAAAUGGUAACUACGUAGAUCCAAAGAAUUAGGAUUAGAGAUGGCAUUACGGCAACUUAGCUUUAUCCUUGCCCACUUCAUUUUGCAGUACUCUACAGAGAAGAACAAAUUAAGCUGGUCCUAUCCUACAUCGACAUGGUAUUCGGGCCACUACCCCAUGUAAUAGCAUAUUUUGUCCAGAUGGCAAAUUUUGAUGGCUUACAAGAAUUUGUGAAACUUCUUUUGUGGCUGCUAUUGCGGGAAAUUAAUCAAAUGGGAGCAUUGUGGGCUGUCUGAGUAUAGUUUUUCUACAUUUCCUUUUCUACACUUGUAUCCAAAAAUCACCUUCUCUGGUAUCCUUCUAUUUGAGGACUCCCGAGUACUUUUUCUUCUUUCCCAACACCUUAUCCCUUUCUCAACAUUAAAAGCCAUAGUCUGGAGUUCAUCAGGGUUGAAACCCUCCAAGUUUUGCAACCCCACAAAGAGGGGGAGCUUGCAAAUCACAAGACUAUUAUUUGUUAGAUUAAUUAAAGCUGAUGAAUUUUAACAUGUUUUGUGAUUUGGGUGUAGAUUAAUUAUAUGAAGGAGGCAUCAAAAGUAACAGGUUGAAACAAACCGACAAGCCACGUCUCUAGAAUUUCUUUAAUGGUAUGGUUAGACAAAAUCUUCACUCUGACACACCAAGAUGAGAACGUGUACCCAUUCACAAUAGGAAUCAUUCAAUCGCGUCAGAAAAUGGACAAUCAGUCUCUCUGAAGCUCUCCCUUUUUCCAUCUAUAAAUGCGGGUUACUCCCACUGCACUCACUCAUCCAUCCCUUGAGCAAACAAUCUUCUUGUGAGUUUUUUUCAGUCUUCGUUCCCCCAACAAAAUGGCAUACUCCAAGGUUUUUCUCCUUCUUGGCCUUCUGUGUUCUGUCGUUCUUGUCCUCUCCUCUGAGGUGUCAGCCAGAGAGCUAGCUGAGGCUGCUCAAACCCGUGAGUUCCCCACUCUUUUAGACACUUUGUAUGCAUCACUUGCUACUAUGCACAUUCUCUUGAGCUGCACAAUAGCACAUGCCAGUCAAUGGUGUUUUUGCUCUAACUGAUAGAUUAACAAAUAAGCAAAGUACCUUUCUAAUUAUAAUUAAACCAUGGAUAUAUCUUGGAGAAUUUCCUCACCACUCCUUAGCAGAAUCAAUACCGUGACUAACUAAUAACGCCCGGCCUUUUUUUACUCUUUCUAAUGGUAGAAGGGAGUGUGGAAGAAGCUAAACACUGGGGACAUGGACACGGGCAUGGACACUGGGGACAUGGACAUGGGCAUGGUCAUGGCCACAGGCAUGGACACCAUGGCAAACCCGGACAUGGUGGUGCUGCUGAGACAGAGGAAAAUGAAAGUGAAGCAGGCGAGAAUUAGGCAGAAGCACUUCUAGCUGCUGUAUGUGCACGCAUACACCGUGCAAAUAAGGUUGUGUAAUUUACGUAAGUUAGUGUGUCAAUAAGGCAUGUGUGAUCAGUGGUUGCCACUAGAGUCCCUAAGUAAGAUGGAUGCAUGGGUUUGCCAAAAAUAUUAAAGAAUCAUUAUGUUAGUUUAUUAGCCUGAAAUGAGAACUUUCUCAGGGCUCCUUUGCAUCUGUUUUUGGCUUUUAAUACCAAGAAAAAAGUUAAUGAAGCAGAAAGAAUAUGGAAAUUCAACUUAACCAAUUUGCCACGUCUCUAAAUUUUCUCCAUUUUCUUCCUUGACAUGACUCAAACAUAUGAGAGAAAACGUUGAUUAAUUCUCUUUCACAUGUAGCUAAGGACUUGGCGUAAUCUCAAUGGAAUAUUCCAAUUCACUAGAUACCUCUAAAAUUAACACUUCCGAAUCAAUCAUGUGAACCCACCGGACGGUCUCUUACUCUCCCAGUCAAUACAAAUCAUUUUAGCAGUCUUUUACCUUAUUUUAUGUUUUGAAAAUGGCUUUCUCUAAAGCUUCUCUUCCUCUUGGCCUUAUGAUUGGUGUUGUGUGUUCAUCAUCUCCUUUGGGUUUUCAGCUUGGGAGUUAGCUGAUGCAGCAGCCCAAACUUAAAGAAUCUCUAUGAAUUGUUUUUUUCAACAGGCUCAAUGAUAUCCUUUUAUAUAUAAUUUAACAUUUUAUUUUUAAAUCAUGAAACUCUGAAGGAUGCCAAUUAGUAUGGUGGAUAUGGACAUGGCUACCGGCACCAUGGCCAACCUGGUCAUGGUGGUGCUGGAGAGGAGAUGGCAGAUGAACCAGAAGGUCGCAGUUAGAUUGUUCAUCCUUAUUGGUACAGUACAACAACAUGGGGUGGAUGAUUCAGCAUAGCUGGGCUUUAUCUCUGUGUUUUCUCAUGUUGUUUCUAACCCUUUGUGCAAUAUAUUUGAGUGCAUAUCAGCGCAUGAUAUAUGCAAAAUAAUCAAAGUAAAUGUUGCUGCUUGUGAGCGUCUCUUGUCAAAGUAUAUAUAAGAAAAUAUAUACUUGAAUAGAGAUUAGUUAGUGAGAAUCAAGUUUGAAAAAGAAUUAUGAGGUUGUUUGAUGUGAGGACAAAUGAAAGAACAAUGACGUGAGAGGUGACGCAACCAUAAGCAUGAUAUAUACUAUAGGGCUUAGGAUGCAUCCCCAUGUAGAAAUGUAGGGCCCCAAGUCCCUGAGUUGCAUGUGAGGUUUAACUUAGAGCUCAAAGCCAAGAGCCAUCACGCUCACCCUUGGGUCACUCAGCGGUAUUCUCUUCAGGACUUCGUGACGUGAGGAGGGACGUAUGCAAUGUACAUGAUUGGUCGAAGAAUUUUGUUAUCCAAGAGAUCAUUCUGAAGAAUAUCUUUGAACCACGAUAUGACAUGCUAAUAUCAUUGAAGUUAAAUCAGCAACUUUCUAAAAAUAUUGGUAAAAAAAAAAAAAAAAGUUAAAAUGAUCAUAAAAUUUUCAAUUUAUUUCCAUAAAAAGAUCAUUUAAAAGCUUAUUUAAUAAUUCUUAUAAUUUUUUUAAUAAAAUUUGAGAUUUUUUUUCUUCCAAAUAAGUAUAAAAUCUUUUGAAAGUGAUGAAAUAUUUUACUUAGAAAUUAUCUAUUAUAUAAAAAUAUGUCUAACAUAAUAAAUGUCUUGAUAUCUAAACUUUUAAUGAAAUGAUGUAUCGAUUAAGAAUUUGAUAUUUAUCAUUCUCUAAAGUUCAAAUGAUCAUGAAAAAUUUUGAAAUUUUCAAAUGAUGGAAGAGAAUAUACCAUGAAAAAAUUAUUUAACAAAAUAUAAAAUACAAAAUGAUAAAAAAAAAAAAUUAUAAGAUGGAAAAAAAUUCAGAUAAGGUUAGUAUAUAAGAAACAAAGUGAUAAAAAUAGAAUAAAAGAAAACAAUAAAUAAAGGUGUUAUUAUAUUUCCUCUUUAAUUUUAUUUAACUUAACAAAGUAAAGAUUAAUUUCACUCAUUUAGAUUAAGUAUAUUAAGUUGUUGAUGUUUGGAUUAAAUAUACUUAGUUAUUAUUAACCUAACAUUUGGGUAAAUAAGGAAAUACAAAUAAAUGAAAUAACAAAUAAAUAGGAUUACAAAAUGUAUUUGAUGAAAUUUCAAAUUUAUGAUGAUUAUGUAUAAUUCAAACCUUAAGAGAGGAGAGUGAAAUUAAUUUUAUAAAAUAGAUUUAUUUUUAUUUUUUAAAAUCUCUAGUUAUAUAUAAGAAUUUUCUUUCUUUUUUUAAUUUAUGGGGAAUAAUACAUAAGAUGUUUUUUUUUUCUUACAUACCAAUUUUAUUUGUCACCUAUUAUGUUGAGUUGUCCGAAGUCUAAUUGUAUUGUAUAUUGGUUCCAAAUCACUAUCCUCUUGUCACCUAACUUGAAGUUGUACAUUUACCAAAUCAUCACCUAACUUAAAGUUGUACACUUAACUAAUCUAACUAAAAUACUUAAUCCUUAAUGAAUACCACAAUCAUCUUAAAAAAUCUUCUACAAAAGCUACGAGUCUCUAGAAAGUCUCUAAAACUAUACGACAGAAAACCCAUGAGGCAAGAAGCUUAUAAAAAGCCUUUAAAUUCCUUCAAGUGAGGAAAGAGAUAGAGAGUUCCAUCUCCAAGCAGAACCACCUUCAAAUAGUUUGAGAAAAACCUCCACAUCUGAAAAAAUUUGCAAAAACAUAGAAAGACUAUUGUAAGUGUUGAGACGUCAUUUGUUUUUAUUUUUGGCUCUGGCCAGCCGUACCACCGAACUGUACCAGACGGGGGCAUCACACCCGGAAUGGGCCAGGACCAGAGUGGCCUCCCUAGGAUUCGAAUUCAAGACUAAGGUCUUUUUGGUUGCACUUCUGGUACCAUUUGAGCUACUAGCUCUUGAGUUCGAAUCCUGGGGAGGCCACUCUGGUCCUGACCCAUUCCGACUGUGAUGCCCUCGUUUGGCACAGUUCGGUGGUACGACUGGUCAGAGCCAAAAAUAAAAACAAAUGACGUCCCAACAGUAAGCACAAGAAUAAUGAGAAGUCACAUGUCAUUCAAUUUUUGUUUUGCACCAAAGCAGAAGAAAUAAAAGAAAACAAUUUCUUGGAAGCUUCAUAAUCAAGGAGCUUACAAAUAGCUUCUCCCAACCAAAUUAAAGAGGGCAAAUCCUUCUCCUCUAUUGAAUCCCUCUCUAUAUCCACUAAACAGAUGAAUAAAAAUUCAGUUAGUCAUGAAAGAAUUUUAGUACCUUCAUACGCUUUCUUGUAAUUGUAGAUCAAUUUUUGUAGUUAGAUAGAUGAAUCAAAUGGUUCUAGUCAAUUUUUAAGUGAUAUUUUAAGUAUUUUAUGCAUGUAUUAAUUUAUUCUAAUUUUCAUAUUAUAUAAUAAGUUAUUAAUUAGGACAAUUGUUUUUGGUUCUAGUGAAUUUUUAAGCGAUACACAUGUCUCCAGGAAACUGGAUAUCUCCAGAAAAGAUUUUAAGUUCAAUCCUUUUUUUUUUUCUCUCCACUCGGACCAAUCCACUUACUCGGCUUCUUGUAUUUAAAGUGAUUCGUGUAUCUACUCCAAUGAUACUAUUGUUCCGUACCAUUAUGGAAGCAGAUCCGGGUAAAAUAUGCACUUCCUCGGGAAUGAAAAAAAAUCGAUCUACUUUCAUUUGGUAUUUUGGCUUAAAUUCUUUGACUCCUCGAUAUUCAAUCAAAUCCUCUUUUUUAACGAUUGAAUGCGCCUCUAUAGUCCCAUAUUUAGUAUUAGUUUAUUCUAAUUUUCCUAUUAUACACUAAAUUAUUAGGAUAAUUGAUUUUAUGAAUAGGAGUAAAGGCAAUUAUUGUAUUUUGUGGGAUCAUUUUGCAUACUCUUUUAUUAUAGUGAAAAAUAGUAAAGUGUACGUAACUCUUAUUAAGAGGAAACCGCUAUAAGUCCUAUCUAUGCUUUACCUAUUCCAUGCAUGACCCACAUACCCAUUCUCAAUCCUUCAUGUGGGAUCGAAUUUAAUCAUAGCAGUUGGCAAGAAAAAUAAUUCUCUCUAACCUCUUUGUUAUAAGGUUACAUUAAUGACACAAUAGAGUGCUUCAAUUAGUUUUUCUUUAACAAUCCAUUAACGUAUCGACAUGAAUAAGGAUCAAUGGAAGAGAUGUGAGCAGGGACGCAACCAUAAUAUAGGAAUUAGAAUCUAGUACCUAAUUAAGCCUUUGAAAUGAAUGCAAGUUAAGGAUAAUUUAAGUUCAAAUUAACCCAGCCAAGGCCUAUCUCCUAUGGGUUACUCAAUACCAUUAUUUGGGAUAUAUGCAAUAUCAUUUCCUGAUCAUUGAAGGAAUUCUGUAAUCAAAGAUAUUAUGAUGAUAUUUUUGAACUGCAAUAGGAUAAAGUAAUGUCAUAUUGUGGAGAAUUUUGAAUUAAUGCGUGCAAGCUUAGUGAUGUUUGAUAAUUGUUUUUUAAAACAGUUUUAAAAAACAGUUGUUAAGAAUAAUUUUUUAAAAUUGUUUUUUAAAGUUCUGUGGAAUAAAAGUUUGUUUGAAAAUUUAAAAUGUUUUUAACUUGUUUUUAAUAUUUUAAACAUGUUUUAAAAAUAAUUUUUAUAUAUAAUACUUUAUUUUUAAUUAUUCUAUAUAUUUGUAUAUUUAUUAUUUUUAAAUAAUUCUUAAAAAAUAAGGGAAAAUAAAAAAAUAAUUAAAAGAUAUUUUUUGAAAAUACCAUAUUUUAUAUUUUUAAUUAAAAUAAAAAAUAAAAAAUGGUUUUUAGUUAUUAAAAAUAUUUUUUUUUAAAAGAAAAAUUAUUUUUGAAAACAAUUAUUUAUAAGCAGAAAGAAAAAAAAAUAUGUUUUUUUAGUGUUCCACUAUCAAAAUUCUAACUAUAUAUAUACAUAUGUUUGACCUCCCUAAAUAUCGAAAUAAAUGCCCACCAACAGGAUAUUGGUAGGUGUAUAUAGUACAUCUAAAAGAACAAGUAAUUGAAACUUUUUUCCUUUUCCCUGAUUUACUCUCUCUUUCUCUCGCCUUCCAUUAUGAACUUUUGAAAUAGGUUUUUGAGAGAGCUAAGAAAAUUGAAUCCCACGAACGUGAGAGUCCCAACAAAAGUGACUUCUGGCAAAACCAUGUGAAUAAAAGCUUUACUGCUAUUUUUGGUUUAUUCUUUGGAGCCUCAUUCUACAGUCCACAGAAGCCCGCAAAAGUGGUUCUACACCAACAUAUUACUAGCAAUUACCAUGUGAUUAUGGAACCUCUUUUGUGGCAGUAAACGUAUUGUGGGUUGUGAAGUAUAAGUUUUUUGCUGCAUCCUGGGCUUUCUGGACAGUCUCAACUCCAAUAUAUACACAUAAGGUUCAACUUUAAAGGCUAUAAAAUAAGGUUUAAAAAGUACUUAUAACGAUAACUUGUUCUUAAGGUUGUACAGAUUGCUUCCUACAAACAUAGAUACAUGGGAUAAAUAUUUGGUGUUUAUGCAUAAAUGGUAUGGGCUCUUUAGACAAAAUGUUGAGUUUUACUCAUAGAAGGCAAGGGGCAUUUACACUACAAAUCAAUCAAUGGGACCAGAAUGUAGACAAUCAAUCUUUCAACUUCUCUUUCUAUGCAUAUAUACAUAGGGGGUCUUCACGAUGCUUGCACUCACCCAUAAAUCCCCUAUCCAACAAUGUCCUUUUGAGUCUCUCCUUAGUCUCCUAAGAAAAUGGCUUUCUCUAAGGCUUUUGUACUCCAGGGCCUUCUCUUUGCUGUUCUUCUCAUCCUCUCUAAGGUUUCAGGAAGAGAGAUAGCUGAGGCUGCUCAAACCCCUGAGUUUCUCGCAUUCUUAAACCUUACUUUUUGCCUUUCAUCUUUGAAUCUUUGCCACCAUGCAUGCGCCCACAUAGUCUUGAUCAGCACAGCACACCCCAAUGCCAGUGAAUGGUGUGUAAAAUGUUCACCAACUUUUCCUAGUGUCUCACAAUAUUUGCAAGCAUUCCAGUUGAGGCUUUCUGCCAAAUCAAGAGCCUCUAGUCCUGUACAUCAUGCCACGGAGGACAUAUACUUGCUCUUGAUUUAAGAAACCUUUAAGAAUAGGCAUCGAAGAAUGUUCUCUCUAAAUUGCCUUUGUGACAGGUUUAGUUUCAUCAGUGUUUAGUUACAACUUUUCCCCUACACAUUUGAGGUUUCAGAUUUUCUUGGCUGAGAAAAAUCAAGUAAUAGUUCAGUGAAUACGAAGAAAAUCUUUCUCUAUAACCACACAGCGAAUAACAGAUGAGAAUCUUGGAAUUUCCCUUGCCACUUCUCAACAGAAUCAAGCACUGUGGCUGAUUCAACCUUUUUUUUUUUUUUGUUUUCCUCUUUCCAGUGACAGAAGGAAGUGUAGAAGAAGCUAAGAACUGGGGACAUGGAUAUGGACACGGGCGCUGGGGAUUUGGAUAUGGACAUGGACAAGGCCACUGGGGAUUUGGACAUCGACACGGCCACCGGGGACAUGGACAAGGGCAUGGCCAUUGGGGACACGGACACGAAGGCAUACCCGGACACAAUGGUGCUGGUGGGAAAGUGGAUUUUAGCAUAUUAGCCUAUUUUCUUUUUGUUAUUUUUCAUUUUUGUUAAUACCUAUAGUUGGUGAGGUGUUUGUUUUUUUAGAUGAGCUUUACAGCUCCAUUUGCGUGAACUUCUGUGAGGUAAAGCUCUUUAGCUCCUCUGUUUUCUAUCCCUGUACAACAAUCAAUCAAGGAAAGAGAAUCAGUCAAUUUCUCUCCAUUUUCCCUUGUAAUAGUGAAGAAGGAAACCGAAGCUGGUCAGAAUUAGAUAAAACACCCCAGUUGCUGCAUUUGCACAACUACUAUAACGUCUGAGGUUCUGCUGUUUAUAUAAAUUUGUAUAUAAAUAAGUCAUGUGGUGAGGAGCAGCAGCCACAAUAUCCCCUCAAGAAGAUGGUUGAAUUAGUUUGCCUAGCUAGACCUUCAAGCAUGUGAAAAACUAGCACAAAAGAAAAGAUGGUCGGUAAGUUGGCAUUUAAAGACUUAUCCCAUUAAAAGAAGUCGGCCCAAGCGCAGCUUGCUGAAUGAUUUUCUUUACUUGGUUCCUAUUCAACUUCUUUACAUACUGAAAGGGAAUAUUUGUGCCAAAACCACCCUUCCCCAAAAUGGUUCAAGUGCAAUAAAAAUGUGUUCAUAGGAUUCCUCACAGUUUAUGAAAACUUUUAUUUCAAUGGUUCAAGUAAAAUAAAUUGGUCAUUUUGGCCAUUAAAUAUUGACCAAAAUGAUUCCUUUCACCACAUGCUUUUCUUUUUAUCUUUUUCCUUAAAGGCCAUCUUGUUCCGAAAAAUACCUGGAAAAGAAAAAAAUUAUUAAUGAAAAUGAUUUUCUCAUAUUUUGUUUCAUUAUAAAAAUAUAAAAGAAAAUAACAUAUAACUAAAAUUAAUUUAAAAUUUAUAUAUUUUUAAAUUAUUUAAUCUUAUUAUAAUAGAGAAAAAUAAGUAAAAUGAGUUUAAAGAAAUAUAUAAAAAUAAUUUAUUAAAUUUAAACUUAUUUUUAUUUUCCUUCACUUUCUUUUUCUUCUCUAUUUUCUUUCCUUCGUGCUUUCCCUCAAAUUUUCUUGAAACCAAACAUAGCCUAAAGAAAUCAGUUUGAAACCACAUCUAGAAAUUGUGGUUUUUAGUACAAAUUUAGAAAUUCCUCUAUCAGCUUUAAUAUACAUUUGGAAACUAGGUUUUUAAUUUUUUUUAAAAAGGGCUUUAUAGUCUUCUGUGGAUCACCUUGAGGCUUCAAUAUUUUAGGGACCCAAGAAAGACUAUGACUAAGGGAUAUGAUUCGCGGAACCAGUUUUCAAAGUAAAAUUAUGUUGUUUUUUCAAUUGAUCUUGGGGAACUGCAUCUUCAAAAACGAUUCAAGUGUCUUUUUGGCUUUGGAAACAGGAAAAAUAAAUGAUGGUGAAUUGUUUCCACAUAUCAAGAGAGGGGCAUAUAGAUAUAUAAUUCACUCACUCAUCCAUUUCCUCGAGCAAAUUGAUCAUCUUCUUCUGAGUCUCUUCUUAAUCUUCAUUUCCCAAAGAAAAUUGCUUACUCUUGAGACAUUUUUCCACAUGGCCUUUUGUUUGUUGUUAUGAAGUGCCUUGUUUUCUUUAGAGGAAGGGGCUUUGAGGUUUUCGAGGUCAAGGCUGAUAACGGGUGCUUCAUGCAGUUAUGGUUUGAAACUCUAUGUCACUUGUGUAGCAAGGGGGAAGCCAUAAGGUGGGGUUGUGAGUUCUAAUGCUAGCUAAGUGGUAGAGGCCAAGGCAAUAGAGUUUUGCAUUCUUAUACCCUUAAAUGAAUUAUCAAAGGAUGAGCAUUUUGGCAAUGUGAUACAAAGACAGUACGACCCUGAAGAUUGCACUAGUGUGGGGUAGCACAAGGAUUAAGUUUGAUUAUAGCUGACGGAUUGACUACAAAUAUAUUCUGGCCAUGAUUACAUGUUUUACAUUUUAAACAUCUCUUUAAAUGUUAUAUUAUGAUAACUUUCGUAUACUAACUUUAUUAUAUGAUAUGUCAUGACUGUUCAAUGGAUUUCAAUUCACUCUAUUUAAUGGACAAGAAGCAAAUAGGUUUACUUAAAGGUUGAGCCAAAGUUAGUUCCCAAGAGUGAGCCUUAAAGCAUGUGCCUAUUGGCUUAUUUGGUUAUCCUUAGUUACAUUGGGCAUGUGCCUUUGAGGCAUAUUGCUAAUUUGAGGUUGUACCUGUCCUUAAAACUUUGUUAAUGCUAUGGUCUUAUGCUUUUAUUUUCUUUUUUAGUAGUCUUUGAUUUUGCUUCACAGCAUGCCUCUUACCUUCAGCUACAAACUCCAUCUUCAUUCCAUAAACUUUCCCUUUUAUGAUCUAAAACAUUUAUAGUGAUAUAACUAACACUUCCAUACUCAAUAGACACAACUAUUUUUUGUUAGAUGGAAGAUGCUGAUUUCAUUUGAAGAAGUAACUGAAUAAUUUUUGACAUACAGUAUGAUCCACUAAUAUCCAAUCUAAAAGAACUGAAUCCCCAGAAAGUGAGUUCUCACCAAAAGUGAAAUCAGGCAGAACCAUGAGAGAAAAAACUUCCCCAACUUGAAAAUUCCCCAGAAACUUCUACUUUGCUGCUAUCUUUGGUCUUAUCAUUUGGAGCUUCAUCCUUCAGUAUAAAGACAAGAACAAAAGUGGUCCUAUACCAUUAUAUUACAAGCCAUUACCAUGUGAUAUUAAUGUUGGCGAAACGUCGUAUUUUAUGGAUUACGAUAAAUUCAGAAACUUCUUGUGGCUAUAGUUGCAUUGUAGGUGGUGAUUGGUGGAGUAUAAUUUGGCUACAUCUGGAUUGCUUGGAUGGUUCCAAGAUUGGGACUCAGGAGUCUUCCCUCAUUGCAGGCAGGGGCUCUGAACUAAUUUGAAAAGGUAUUUCAUCUUUGUAUAUACAUUUUUUUCCUGAAGAUUUCCAACAUGUUGGGACAAAACACAUAAAACAAGUCUUCACUAAGUGUGUUAGAAAAGCUAUUGAAAAUAUGCUUCCUUUUUCUAUCUGGUAUCUCAAUUAGUGUUUUUAGUACUCCCAACUUCCGCUUUUUGGCUUAUAAUUAACGCAUACUUUAUGAAUUAACUUAACUCCAUUGAACAAACUUUCCCCACUGCAUUAAAUGGAGUUUGCAAGCCAUGAGGCUUAAAGAAAAUUCAUUUGAUUAACUUCUGUAAUGGUGUGGUCAUGUUAGACAAAAUCAGGACUUACACAACAAGACAGCAAGUGAAUUAGCAUUGCAAACUAAUUGAUGAGAUCACGAAAGGGAGAAUUGGUUUCCCUGAACAUCUCCCUCAUUCAUUGAGCUAAUAAUCUUCUGUUAAGCAAAUAAAGUUUAGUUUAUCUCAGUUUGGUAUAAAAUCCAUACUUUUAGGUAUAUCAAUGGGUCAGAAGUUCCAAAGUUCCCUCUGUUUUGGUUCUCUGUUUAUGAACUGUCCCAUUUGAGGCUCUGCUUAGCCAGAGGAAGUGCCAACUAAUGCUGAGCUGCUGCUCAUGGCGAAGUUAACUACCCUAACAGCUAAAGAAUAUGAACUCCAAUAGAACAUCAACACACCUUUAAUAGCACCAUAUUCUUCAAUAUGAUAUUAAAAACUCUGUAGUUUUUCUCAGAUUUAAGAGCAUUAUUCUAUAUCCUAUCUGCCUUACAUCUCUCUCAUAACUAAACCAACCCAGAUUUGCCACCAUACUGUCUCCUGUCUUGUGGCUAAACCAAACAAUAAGCCUGUCACUAAGAUCAACCACCCUGAAAUACUGAUUUAGCCCAUGGUUUGUCAUCUUCAUAAACCUGAAUAACUGCCCAAUCGAUAGAGGAGAAGAUCACUGACUGCUGCCUGCAAAUUCUGAGUAACCUUAAUUUUUGUUGUUGAUCAAACAAUUCCAUACAAUAAACCAUCCAUGGCCCACCAAAAUAUGCAAUUUUUAAUCCCUGGUUUGCCAUCAACAUAAUUUGUGAGGAUAUAAAAGUCAUUAUCUUAUGUCGUUUGGAGAACUAAGUCAGAGAUUUUUCAACAUUGUUGCAUUGAAUGGGGGUAUCUUUUCCCUAACAAGCUCAAAAAAAAAUUUAAUUUCUCCAACGACUCGGUCGAUGACCCCGGCUCUUAUCAGUGGCGGAAAAAACAGCCAGAAGCUGGUAACCAUCACGAACCCCACGGUGAGCGGCGCCGAAACAGCCCAAUGCAGCCUCCACCGGCCUGAAAACAGUGACUUGAGACCAAUCUCCACCACCACGCACAGUCCAUGCAGUACAAAGAAGCACGUCAUUUCCCACGAGGGGCUCGCACGUAUGACGUAGUAGAACAACAACUCGUGCACCAAACCGGAUACCACAAACGUCGCCACCACCGCCGGCAGUGGCGACAACUGUCUGCUGACCACCUUCUCCGCCGCAGAUUUCAUGGGCUUAUAUACUAUUUGGCGCAGCAGAUUCGUUACCAUGAGGUUCCACCUCCGUCCCCAGAAGUCUUGCAGGGAAGUUGACAAAUACGGCUCGUCCGACGGCUGCUCCACCUCCAGCCCCACCAUGGACUUCACCAGUGAGUUGCAAAGACUGAAAACAAUCUCUAUAAACAGAAAAACUUGGCAACAAAGCACGCCCAAGAAGAUAUUGGGGUGUAUUAGCUCUUUAUAGUCAUACAACCCGAUGAAAAGACCAAAACCCAAAACUUUGACUGCAAAAUUCAGAGGCAAUUUCGGGGGUUUAUAUGGGUGUUGCUGAUUUUGCUUGAUUUUGAUGGGGAGACAAGCAAUGAUGAUGAAGAUGGGGAGAGACUUUGGUCGGCCGGUGACGAGAGGGCCUAAAUCAAAGGAUAAGAGGGCGAGUUUGAAAGUAGCGAGCCAGGAUAUGAACAAGGCGGUGAAGCCGGAGAGAAGAAUGGAUGAGAAAAGGGAAGGAAGGGUGACAAAAAUGGAAAAGAUUGGGAGGAGAGAAAGGAGUCUGAGCUUGCCUUUGGGGAUUUUUGAGACAAUGAAAUAGGCGUAGCAGAGAGAUGCAAGAACAGAGAGACAUACCGUGAUCAAGCUCCUGAUAUCGCCUUCCAUUUUCACUAGAUUUUUCUGCUGUUAGAUCUUUUUUAUGGUGUCAAUAUAUGCUUUUGGAGUGUGGAUGGAAGGUUGGGUCUGUUGAUCACCAAUGGGGGAGUAGACAAUGGCGUCUGGGCCUCUACUUUCUUGUCAUCUCUUUUAUGGAAUCGCCUUUCUGACCCUCGAAUACCCUCUGUCGGAGAACUUUAUUCUUGAAAUGAAAAUCCUUCCAUAUUUUCCGGAUUUAACCUCUUGUCAGAAAAUCUCUUCUUUCUCAUGUAAAAGAUAUGUAAUAAAAUUACACUUUUAUUUUUAUUUUUUAUUUUCAUUUUACAAAUAUUAUGUAGAAAAAAAAAAUCAUAACCAAAAGUUAUAAAAAUAAUGUAUAAAAUAUGUAAAAUCCUCAUUAUGAGAACGAGAAGUUAUAUGAGAAAUUACAAAGUUAAACAUAGUUAGAAGUUAUUCAUGUAAUUUUUAAUCUAUUAUAUAAUUUUUAGUUAUAAAAACAAAAUUAUAUAGUCAAAAGUUAUAUAAUGAAUAUUUCACUGUUAUAUAAAUUUCCUUAUUUUUAUUAUGACAAAAUAAUCUAUUUCGUUAAUAUUACUUAAUAUUAAUGCAUUUUUUAAUAUAUUUAUAAUAAUAUUAUAGCAAUAAGAUAUUGCAAAAUCUUAAAUCAUUAUAUUUUUAUCCAUAAAUAUUACUUAAUUGGUAAAAUAUUGCUAGAUAAUUUAUUCAUUUUUGUAUUUCAAUAAAUUGAAAUAUUAUUCCAAUUAAAUUAUUUCAUAUAUAGUUUUCAAAUAAUGUCAAACCUUACCAAACUUGAAUUUAUUGCCCUCGAUAUUUAAGGCAAAAACUACUUAUAUUAGAUUGUGAAUGCUAAAAUUCACCUAGAUGCAUCUAAUCUUGGAAAUGAUAUUAAAGAAGAAAAUGAUAUAUGCUCGUGGAAUCAUGUUGAAGCUUUAAUAUUCCUUCAUCACACUAAUGAAGGAUUAAAAUGUGAAUACCUUACCUUCAAAGAUCAUUUCAUCUUUUAGAAUAAUCUAAAAGAAUAAUAUGACCAUCAAAAGAUUAUAAUCUUUCCUAAAGUAUGCUAUGAUUGGAUGUAUUUGAAAUUACAAGAUUUCAAGUUAGUGACUAUAACUCAAUUUUAUUCAAAAUUAACUCACAAUUAAUGCUAUGUGAAGAGAAAGCCAUUAAAAAAUAUACACUUGAAAAAAUAUUUACCACUUUUCAUGCCUCGAAUGGACUUCUAUAGUAACAAUAUCAAAAUAAUUUUUAAACUAAAUAAUAUAAAUUAAUUUCAUGUCUUCUUGUGAUUGAACAAAAUAAUGAAAUUUUCAGUCACAAUCAUGGUAGACACAAUUCUUAGCGCCAUGAUGAUUAUAAUCAUUCUCAGAAUAGAAAAAGCAAUUCAAACUACUACAAGUGGAAUAAUUCAAAAACACAACCUGAAAAAUGAUAGAACCACAAGCAAACAUAGGAUUCUUGAUAAAUAUACUGCAAUUAAAAAAAAUAAUAUUUAAAAUACCAUAGUUUGGAAAAUAAUUCCAAUUCUACGUCACUUUUAAACACGUAGGAUAGAUAUGAAAACCCAUUCCCCCCUUUCCAUUUCCCUUCCCGUUUUUCUUCUCUUCCCUUCUCGUUUUUCUUCUCUGCAUCAAAACUCCUCUGCCCGAAAACCCACUAUCCCACACGCUGAUCAUGAGGUGGAGAUCCUUGCUUCAACACCAAUAGGAAGAAAGUGAAGUACAGAUCUGAGAAACCAUUGCCCCUGGUGUUUUCUGUAAGUUUUGUGGUUAUAUUUGGUGGUGUGGUUGUGUUUGGUCACCGAGAAAGUGUGGGAAAGUUGUAAAAAAAAUAAAGUUUUUGUUUUUUUUUUUACAAUGAAACUGAGUAGACUAAAAAUAAUGGAGAAAGUUUUAAUUUUUUUUGUGGUUUGACUUGUUGUGAUUCUGUUUGGUUGCCAAGAAAGUGUGAGAAAGUUGAAAAAAAAAAUUUCCCAAUAUUUCCUACCAGUCCAGCCCGCGCACAGGGUAUCUGUCCAAUUUUUUUUUAUUAAAAAACAUAAGCUAUUUGGUAAUCUGAUCAUGAUUUGAGGAGAAAGGUGAUCAUGAUUUGAGGGGAAAGGUUGUGUUUUUCAGCGUGGCUCAAAAAUCGUGGAUUUAGGGUUUGUGAAAUUUCAAUCCAAUGGCACAAAAGCAAAGAGACCCCUGGACAGAUCCAGAAAGCACGGAGCAAAAAAAAAACAUUUUUUUGUUUGUUUUUUUAGGGGGUUUUGCAUGGACUUUCCCGGAAAGCAAAUGGGAGAUGGAUGGAUUUUCUUGGGAAUCAAACGGGGAUUGCACAGACUUGGGAAUCAAACGGGGGUUGCAACAAAAUAAAAAAAUAAUAACCUGAUUAGAUUAGUACCUACAAUAAUUGAAAUUGAAAAUUUGUUUUUUUAGGGGGUUUUCCAUGGAUUUUCCCGGAAAGCAAAUGGGGAAUGGAUUUUCUUGGGAAUCAAACGGGGAUUGCACAAACUUGGGAAUCAAACGGGGGUUGCAACAAAAUAAAAAAAUAAUAACCUGAUUAGAUUAGUACCUACAAUAAUUGAAAUUGAAAAUUUGUUUUUUUAGGGGGUUUUCCAUGGAUUUUCCCGGAAAGCAAAUGGGGGAUGGAUUUUCUUGGGAAUCAAACGGGGAUUGCACAAACUUGGGAAUCAAACGGGGGUUGCAACAAAAUAAAAAAAUAAUAACCUGAUUAGAUUAGUACCUACAAUAAUUGAAAUUGAAAUUGAAAUUUAAAUUCAAGGAGACAUUUUCAGUAUAAACCAAUUUUUUAAAAAUUAUGAAAGGUGUCCGAAUAUAAUUCCAUUUUUUUGUAAUUAUGGAAGGUGUCUCUUCAAGAGACACCUUCAGCAUAAAUUCAAAAUUUUCCACUGUUUGAAUGGAAAUUAUGGAAAGUGUCUUUUGAACAAGCACUCACAUUUCACAAUUCCCAAAAAAUGGAAUUAUAUUGAAGGUGUCUCUUCAAGAGACACCUUCUAUUAUUUUAAAAAAAUUGGUUUAUACUGAAAGUGUCUCUUUCCACAAUUUUCAUACAUUAAAGAGAGACAUCUUUAGCUUUAAAAUCAUUUCCACAAAUAAAAUACAUAUUGGAUUUUGUGGAAUUGUGUAAAGUGUCUUUCCAAGAGACACAUUUAGUAUAAAUAUAAUUUUUUGGAAUUCUAGAAGGUGUCUCUUAAAGAGACACCUUUGGUAUAAAUUAAAUUUUUUAGGAAUUGUAGAAGGUGUCUCUUCAAGAGACAUCUUUAGCUUUAAAAUCAAAUUUAUAAGACAUUCAAAUUUUUGAGGAAAAUGUCUUUUCAAGAGACACCUUUAAUGAAUAUUGGAUUUUUUGCCACGUGGAAAGUGUCUCCGCAAGAGACACCUUUAAUACAUAUUGGAUUUUUUGCCACGUGGAAAGUGUUUUUUCAAGAGACACCUUUAAUAUAAAUCAAAUUUUCUGAAAUUGUAGAAGGUGUCUCUUCAAGAGACACCUUUAGCUUAAAUUCAAUUCUUUCAUGAUUUUGAAAAUUGUGGAAGGUGUCUCUUCAAAAGACACCUUCCACGUGGCCAAAAUUGCCGUAAAUCUAUCAAUAUUUUCAAAACUACCAUUUUUUAAUUAUAAUUUUUUAAAAUUGCCGCAAAAGUUAAAAAAGCCCAGCAAACAUACUUGUGAGAAUGAAUGGUAUAAAUGUGGUAUGAAAGAACAUUUGUCAUGUACCUAUCAUACUUAAAAACAUUCGGUUGACAUUUAUUAAGUUUUGAUAAAAGCAAAAAGGAAAGAGGUUGAAAUAAACUUCAUUGAUGGUGGUGAUUGCACAAUGGACUUAACCUAUCUAGAUGUUUCACACUUCUUUGAGAAUCCCAAUGGAAAAAUUGAACAUCUAAUUAGUGAUGGAAAUGUGUGUUAUGAUUAAAUGUUAUGUUCCUAUUUAGUUCUUUGCUAGUCGAUUUACUAUGUUAUUCUCUUUUGAAUAGAUUAUCUAUAGUAUACAUUUUUUACAAUUUAUUUCACAUUUUACUUUUUACAUAUGAUCAUUUCAUAUCUAAAUUUUUUUCUUUAUUUAUAUUUGAAGAUAUAUGGAUCUCUCUUACAUUAAUAAAUUAUAAGACAUCCAUUAUGGAUGCAUGUCUCAUAGAUUACACUAUAAUACACACAAUUCUUCGUUAUAAAAAAUAUUUUUCCAACCUAACAUUAACUAAGUCUAAUGUUAAUAACAUAUCAAGUCCUAUCGACAUAAUUCAAGACUCUGGAAGAGCAACAAUUAUUUUACCUUAUGGAAUUAAAUUCUGCAUCAAUGAUGCUCUUUCUUCUACUAAAUCCAAUCAAAAUCUUCUUAGUUUCAAAUAUAUUUACUAAAAUGGAUAACAUAUUAAAACUACGAAUAAUGGUAGUAAUGAAUAUCUUUUCUUUACUUUAAUUAUUUAUGAGAAAAAACAUAUCUUGGAAAAGCUUCCUUUUUACUCAUGUAGGUUAUAUCAAAUAACUAUUAAACCCAUUAAAUCAUAUGUUCUCAUGAACCAAAAGUUCUAUGACUCAAAAACUUCUAUGCAUUGACAUGAAUGCCUUAGUCAUCUAGGAUACUAUAUGAUGCAUUGUAUCAUUAAAGUUAAUUCUUUUAGCCAUCCUUUGAAGAACCAAAAGAUUUUGAUGCCCAAUGAUUAUAAUUGUGGUAUAUGCCUAUAAGGCAAAUUAAUUAUUAAACCAUCAUUUACUAAGAUUGUAUCUAAAUCCCCAAUCUUUCUAAAAUGCAUUCAAAAUGACAUUUGUUGACCUAUUCAUUCACCUAGUGAACCCUUUUGUUAUUUUAUUGUUUUAAAUAAUGUCUCAAUUCAUUGAUCUCAUGUUUGUCUUCUUUUAACUAGAAUGUUGCCUUCACUAGGUUACUUUUUUUAAUAAUUUGACUUAAGACAAAAUUCCUUGAUCACUCUAUUAAGACAAUUUAUCUUGAUAAUGUUGAUGAAUUCUUAUCUCACACAUUCCUUAAUUAUUGUACAUUAGUUUGUAUUGAUGUUGAGCAUUAUGUUGCUCAUACUCAAAAUGGAUUAGUUGAAUCUCUUAUUAAGCAUUUGCAAUUGAUUGCUAAACCAUUAAUCUUGAGAAUAAAAUUGUCUUUGUCUACUUGGGGACAUGAUAUUCUCCAUGUUCCAACUUUAAUUCAGAUUCAUCUUACAGCUAAUUGUGAAUUCUAACCUUUAAAUCUUACUUUAGGUUAUCAACCAAAAUUUUCAUAUUUACAUAUUUUUUAGUUAUGCUAUCAAUGUUCUCAUUGCUCUAUCACAACAUUCUAAGUUAGGUCCUUAAUAUCGAUUUGGUAUAUAUGUUGAUUUUAAUUUUUCAUCUAUUAUCUAUUAUCUUAAACCCUUAAUAGGUGAUGUUUUCACUACCCACUUUGCGAAUUGUUAUUUUGAUGAAAUGUUUUCUUGUUAUUAUAGAGAGACAAGUGACUGUUAUUCUCUGUUGUCCAAAAUACUAAGCCUUAUAUCUUUAAUCAAUCAUUCAUUCAAUUAUUGAGUUCAAUUUUUCAUUAUUUUCCUGUAAGCCUUAAUCCUAGGUUUUCAUGCUAUACACUCCAAGAGAAUUCUUUAAUCUCUCAUGGGUGUGUUUUCACAAGGACAAUUCAUUAAAGAAAGAUAAAGAACCAUUCUUGAAAAUUAAAUAAAUAAAAAAUAAUAUAUUAAUUAAUAAUAAUGGGAAAAAAAACAAACAAACAAACCAAGAUCUUGACUUCAUCUUUUUCUCUCCAACCUAAAAAAAAUCCAAAAAACCUAAAAAUUAAGUUUUUAUAGUUUCCCCCAAAAAAACCUCACACGUGUUAUGUUCCUAUCGGCCACUUAUUUUACAAAUAAUUACCUAAAAAUAACUAAAUAAUAAUAAUAAAAUCAUUAUUUCUAGUCGUGUGAGGCCCACUUAAGGUAAAUAGAGUGCCUAAGAUGAAAUUCCUGAGGUGGAGGAAGUGAAACAUCAAAGUGAAAGUUUGUGAUUUCAAAAUUAGGGUCAUUUCGAAAUGGAUUUUAAAUUUAUAAGUUGAAUUUUGAAAUCAUUUUGAAAUGGUUCUUCCCACUCUACAUAGUUGUCUUCAAAUGACCAUAACUUCUUUGUUUCACCUUCGAUUUAUGCACUAUUUGAAGUUUUGGACUCCUAACUUCCCAAGCUUCGCAAUGAUGUAUAGUUUGCCCAAAAUUAACCUAAGAAAGUGCUCCAUAUUUUACUUUAAAGUUAAAGUAUGUGUUGUUAAUAGAUUUCGAGUUCCAAAUUUCCAUAUGAACUUGAUUGUAUUUUUUUCAAACCUCCUCUAUUAUGGUUGUUUUCCCUCUAUCUUACUCCAUAACAUCUAUUGCUAGUAUUUCAUACCUAUGAGUUACUCAUCAAACUUUUUCUUGGAUUCUUCGUGGUUCACAAGUCUCGAGUCUCUCAAUUAUAUAUGUUAACCCCUUUUACUUUCUUGGUUGAUAAUAACUUUUGCACUUAUCAUUUUUUUCAUCUUGUAAACCUAGAAUUAGGCUCAAAGUAGAAGUUAGAUCUAUAGUUAGGGUCUUAACAUCAAUUGGAGUUAAGUUGGAGAAUUUAAUUUUUUAUAUUGCAUAAAUCAUAUCAUAUAUGUGUUAUUGAAGCACAUAUUUUAUCUCCAAUCAACAAGUCAAUUCCAAAAGAAUAGAGAGUCUAUAUGUGGAAUGUAUCCUCUUUGUCUCAUCUUGAUUCUUGUAUAAGGCACUGUAAACUAGAAGUUCAAAGGAUUAUUCAGUUUCAAAGACUUGCAAAUUAGUUAUCUAAUGCCUUUACAGAUACAAAAAAAACAGUGAUGAAGUCACAUAUAUCGGAUGUGAAUAUAUACCUCAACCCGUAUUAAUGUCUGAAAAAAUAAAUGCUAUACUUAAUUAAGAAAAACACCCAAAAUUGGGGGGGAGGGGGGGGGGGGUGAAUUGGGUUUUUUAAAAAUGUUUUCAAUCACAACAAGUUCAAGCACAAUAUAAACAAAAUAAAGAGAUAGAGUUAGAGAAUUCAAACUCGGGUUUUAUAGUGGUUCGACACUUCCUUGCCUAUGUCAACUCUCCUCAAUCUCUUAACCUAGUGAGGGUUCCACUAACUUGAAGCUUCAACCAAGCUUCCAAUCUUCUUACACUUGGAUUCCGACUCCAAUGGGCUCUUACACAAUCUCUUCAAGAUUCAAACCUCUUAAAGGCUUUAACACUUAGAUUUUACAAGAAAGAAUCCCUCAACCUAACUUAAAGAUAGCUCAAAUACAAGACAAAGCUAGGAUGACAUACAAGAGUGCACUAAAGGAUAUGCAAGUGAUGAUUUAAUACACUAAGAAAGAAAUGAGAGCUUUUUGGUCAAGAACAGAUAGGUAGACAAUUGAUUGCAAGUGUUCUCUUGUCAAUAAAUGAAGUGGAGCUCUCAAUUUAUAGGUUUCUAAGCUCGGGAGUCAAAAACAGUAAAAGGUAACCUCGAUUGAUCGAGCUAAGAGUCGACUGGUUCACUAGCCGUUGGAGCAUUUAAUGUUUGACAGGUUACUGUUGCCUCGACAGGAUCUCGACCAAUCCUCAACUGGACCUCGACCGAGAAGAGAAAGUCAUUGGGAGAGAGAGAAAGUUUUGUGCAUCCAUCAACCGGUCCUCAACCGGUUGAGACGGUUGGCCAUAAUCUCGACCGGUUAAGCCUUUUGGCCCCGAAAACCUAUCUUUUUCAAUUCCUUUCUUUUCUAACACUUAGGCAAGGUUUUUAGGUGAAUUGUUAUGCCAAUUUUAAAACAUUUUGCCUAUGGUAUAUUUGUUAAAACUCAGGUUUUAAUAAAAUUAAAGUUUUAAAGAAUAAACCAAGUUUUCUAAGUUGCAUGAAACGGUAUGAAAAUCCUAAGUGCACUCAUGCAUUUAUCUUACAUUAGUUUCCUAUGAUCACAAGUCUUCCAAACGUCUCGAUCUUGUAUCUAUUUGGUCAUUUGAUGAAUUUUCGAGUUUAUGCCUGAGAUUCUUAACCAUUAAACCAAUUAGUCAUUUAAUCAUGGUUUAUUAUCAUCAAAACCCGAUUAGGAGAACCCUUGGGCUAACAAUGUCCUUAUAGGAUAAUUGGAAAAUGUAAUGUCAAGUGAAUUUAAGAUAUGCUUGAAGCAUAGUAGAGCUAUUGGCCUAAAUGAUAUAAUUCCUAAAAAAACACAAAAGAAACAACAUAUGAAAAACUUGGUACUCUUGAAAAGCUUAUAAAUAUGAAAGAGUUAAUAGAAAUGAAUUAUGAGACCCAACUUGAUAAAAGGGUAGCCUCUGAAGAUGCAUAAAUUGAGCAAUGGUCCCUUAAAGAAAUAUUGAUACCUAGAACUAACGAGAUCUAAAGGAGUUAUACAAGAGAAACACAAAGGUGUAGUAAUAUUAUUAUUGACAAUAUAUUUGCUUUCCAAGAAGCUAUGUGCAUCAUAAGAAAUGAUGAAGAUCAAAAACCAUAAACUAUGAAUGAAUGUCGAAAAAAAAAAUUAUUGACCAAAAUGGAAAAAAGCAAUCCAAACAGAGCAAAACUUAUUAGCAAAUUAAUGGGUAUUUGAACUUGUAAUUCAAAGACCUAAAAACAUAAAGUCUAUGGGAUAUAAAUAGGUCUUUAUGCUAAAAUGUAACGAGAAUAAUGUAAUCAUGAGAUAUAUACGACUUGUUCUUAAGAUUUCUCGCAAAGACUUUAGACUAUAAGGAAACGUAUUCUCAUAUAAUGGACGUAAUCACAUCUCAAUACUUGAUAAGUUUAAUAGUCUUUGAAGGAUGAGAUGUGUCUCAUGGAUGUUGUUAUAUUUGAUUUAUAUGGAUUUAUAGAUACUAAGAUAUAAUUGAAAAUCUCUGAAGGAUUCAAAUUGCAUGAAGCAACUAACUCAAUACCUCAUAACAUGUACUCAAUCAAACUACAAUGGUCUCUAUAUGGAUUAAAGCACUCUAGGCACAUUUGACAUAAUUGUUUGAGCUAGUAUUUGUUAAAAGAAUGAUAUGUAAAUAAUUCAAUUUAUCCAUAUGUUUUCAUUAAGAAAUCAUAAAUCAUACUUACAAUAAUUGUAGUAUAUAUAGAUGAUUUGAAUCUUAUAAGAACUCCUAAAGGCUAAAAAAAAAAAACCAAUUAUUUAAAUAAAAAAAAUUUAAGUGAAAUAUUUGGGAAAAACAAGAUAUUGUCUUGACUUACGGAGAAAUAUUGUUCAAAUGGUGUGUUAGUUUGUCAACACAUAUAGGGAAGUGUUGAAGCGCUUUUAUAUGGACAAAUUGCAUCUACUCAAUUCCUUCAUGGUUGUCUUUCAUUUGAAGUGAACAAGGACCAAUUUCACCUUAAAGAAGAAAAUGAAAAAUUACACAGUUUAGAAGUAUUAUAUCUUAGUGCAAUUAGUGCAUUGAUAUAUCUUCCAAAUUGUACUAAACCAAGUAGAACCUUCUCUGUUAAUUUACUAGCAAGAAAUAGUUCUAUCCCAACUAGGAAACAUAUAUUGUGAUACUUUUGUGGAACAAGUGACAUGGGCUUACAUUCUUCAAGAGAAUCAACAUUGCAAUUAAUUGGGUAUACAAAUACAUGAUAUCUUUCAAAUCUUUAUAAAGCUCAAUCUCAUAUGAAAUAUGUAUUUACUUGCGGGAAUCAAUGAUGAAAAUAUCGGUAAUUACAGAUAUAUCGGUACUUUGAUUUUACGAAUAUAUCGAAGAUAUACCAAUGGAUAUUUUGACAUAAAAUAUCGAUAAGUCAAAAAUUGAUCAAAAUUCAUGGAAAUAUUGUGAAAAUUAAAAAAAAUGAUAUAAAAAAUAAUAAUAGAAAUAUUAAGGUUGUUUUGUUAUAAAAUUUUUUUUGAUAUAUGUAUAAUAUAAGUUAUGAUAUUGAAUAAUAAUGUUUAUCACUUAAAAACAUACUUUAUGCAUAUUCAUCUAAUUUAGAUGUAUUUAAUGAUAUAAAAGAAAUGAUAAUAAUUUGUAUAAGUAUUUUUUAUUUUAAACUUUUGAUAAUUUUAUUCAUAAAUUUAUAUUUAUUUUGUAUUUAGUUAUUAUAUAAAAGACAUAAUAACCAAAAUUAAUUUAUUUAUAAUAAUUUUAUUCUAAUUAAUUUAUAAUAUAUAUAUAUAUAUAUAUAUAUAUAUAUAUAUAUAUAGUUUAUAAUGUAAAUAUAUAUAUAUAAAAUUCAAUUCAUUAUAUACAACGUGGUUGGUCGAUUGGUACGUAGUAGUGGUGCUUGUGAGUGUUAAGUCAAAUGAUCAAGUCCCUUGGCCUCCAAUACCCUUUAAUUUUUGGCUUGCCUUUUAAAAAUUCAAUCUUUGCAAUCCCACAUCGGUAAUUGAUGAGACAAAAAAUGUCUAUUUAAGCGGAGAAUUCAUGAGACACCCCCAAGCGCAUAAAGCGUGUAGAGUUAGCAGUUUCGUUGUGUAAUAAGCUUAUGAGUUGAGCCCAUUUUACAAUUUUUGAAUCAAAAAAUGAAAAGGAAAUAGUCGGUGAUAAAUCAGUGAAAUAUCACCUAAAAAUCAACGAACAAUUCAUGAUGUCACCGAUUUAUUGACAAAUACCGAUAUAUCGUCAAUAAAUUUCUCCAACUCGAUAUAUCAAUAGCUUAUAUUGUGUCGUUGAUCGUCGAUACACGAGAUUUUGCCAAUAUAAAUGGAUAUUUUCGUCCUUUGUUGUAAUAUCAUGGAAAUCGAUUAAGCAAAAAAUGGUUGUCACUUCCUCAAAUCAUUUAGAAAUAUUGACAAUUCAUGAAGCCAAUCGUGAAUGUGUACAAUUACGAUCUAUGAUCAAGUAUAUUUGAGUGUCAUGUGAAUUAUCUGCUAUUCAAGAACCAUUUAUCUUUCUUUGAAUCCUACAACACAAGUCAAGAUAAUUUAGGUACUUAUAUCUUCUUGGGUCUUGGGGGUUAGUGUUCUUCGAUUUUGCAACCCAAACUUUUUUGCUUUAGCAUUUUGAGAAAUAUUUUUAAGUAGGCAAGUGCUACUUAUGUAACCUCUUCUUUCACAAAGUUACAAAUAGUAGAGGACUUUGUACUAGAUGCCUCUUUGACAAAAUAAUUUUUGAAAUAUUUUUUGUUCUUGAUUGACUUUUAGCCUGACUUUUUUUUUUUAUCAAAAAUAUAUUUUUGGCUAAUAAGAAUCAUCUCAAUUUGUUUUUUGUCCACAAGAAAGGUUCGAGAGAGAAUGGGUCAACCAAUCAUUUUUUUUAAGGUAAAUCUUUUUUGUUUCAACCUUUUCAAAACUUUUUUGCAUAUCCUUAAGUUUAUCUUCAAGAUUUAGGACUUUCUUUUUAAUAGAAACAUUUUUUAACCUAAGUUUUUCAAGAUCACCAUAGAGUUCUUCAAAAUCUAUUCGCAAAUUCUCACAACUUGGGUUAAAAAUGACCUCAUCCUAUUCAUUUAUAGCCAUGAAGCACAUGUUGACUACUUCAUUUUCAUUUUCUUCUUCUGUGGGGUCUUCUUCAUUAUCACAAUAAAUAGAUACCAUAACUUUCUUUUUUCCCUUCUUAGCUUCAUUCUUGUAGAGAGGGUAACCAUACUUGAUAUAUUUGAGUUUUUUCGUACUGUUAUAGCAUAUCAAUUCUUUUUUUCUUUUUUCUUUUUCAUUUUCACUAUUUGAAGACUCUUUUUUUAAGACCUUUUUUUUUAAGACUCUUUCUUUGGUUGAAAUUUAUUCUCUUUUUUCUUCUUAAAUUUGAUGAAUUUUUUUAACUUAUUUACAAUGAGAGCAAGAUCCUCAUCUUCUUCACUAGCUUCAUCUUCUUCAUCAACGAUAGAGGCCUUGAGAGUAAUGUUCUUCUUCUUUUUGUCUUCCACUUUUUGAUGACUCUUUAUGGUAAUUUCAUGAGUCAUCAAGGAUCCAAUUAGUUUCUCCAAAGGAAACAUUGAGAGAUCCUUUGCUCCUUGAAUAAUGGUGACUUUGGUCUUCUCUUUCUUUAGUAGAGAUCUUAGAAUUUUCAUCACUUUCACUAAUUCUCCAUAAAUCUUUCCUAAUGUUUGAAGUCCACUGAUGAUAUCAAUGAACCCAAUGAACAUCUCAAUGAUAGAUUCAUUAUCCUUCAUAGAAAAUAACUCAUAACCAUGCACAAGAAUAUUAAUUUUAGAUUCUUUGACUUGAUUAGUUCCUUUAUGAGUUAUUUUAAGUAGUCUUUAAAUAUCCUUAGCAGAUUUACAUCGGCAUACAUAAUUAUACUCAUUUCCAUUUAUUGCACAAUGUAAAUAGUAAAUAGCCUUUGCAUUUAAUUAGCUUUCUUUUUGUCAAACUCAUCUCAUUCUUAGCUUGGUUUUGGAAUAACUACUUCAUUCUCAAUUUUUGGUUAAACAUGGGGGCCAUUUUGAAUUAUAUAAAAAAUAUCAUAAUCAAUGGAUUUGAAGAACCAUGUUAUUCUAGUUUUCCAAUAUGAAUAAUUGGUUCUCAAAACAAAUGGAGGUUGAUUAAUAAAAAUAAAAAUAAACCCUUCUAUAUGACAUCAUUUGAAAAAAUUAAUCAUAUCCUCUUAGAUAGUUAAUUAUAUAUAUAUAUAUGGCCUAAUUCUGAUACCAAUUGUGAAAAAUGAUUAAUUGGGUUAAAAAAAGUCAUUUAAGAAGGGAGGUGAAUUGGGUGAUAAAAACUUUUCAAAAAUGUUUACCCAAAAGUAAAGAACAAGUAAUUGACAAGCUAUAUAAUAGCAAAAUAAGAGAAAUUGAGGGAAAAAAAAAGUGCUAACUCCUUUUAUAGUGGUUCAAUAAUUCAUCUAUAUCCAUUCUCCUCAAGUUCUUAUCUGAGUAAGGGUCCACUAUCAAGGCUUAUAGUACAAGCCUUCAAGUUUUACAAUUGGAUUCACCGACUUCAAUAGGUACUACAAAGUAUUCUACCAACUUGAAGUUUCUUCACUCAAAAUUAAUAAGUAAUAAAGGUUUUAAUGCUUCUAAUCCUAAGGCAAAUAUUGCUCACAUUACAAGAGAAAAACUAUAAUAGAUUUUAAGGUGCACUCAAGAAUAUGCAAGUUAGAAUUCAAUGCAUUUUCAGAGAAAAGCUUUAAAACUAAGAAAAUGGAUGUCUUUCAAUUCAAUAAUGAUGAUAUUCUCUACUCAAUAAAUGCAAUAAGGCUCUUCAAUUUAUAGAAACAAGCUCGGACACCCAAAAACACAAAAGUACCCUUGAUCAGUCAAGUUCCAGUUUGAUCGAUUGACUAGCCAUUAGGGCAUUUUAAGGUUCAACCAACCCUUGACCAAACUAAGAUUGAAAGAGCCAAAACCUCAAUCAGUAUCACACUAGCUAUUGGAAAAGAAAAAAGAAAUAUAUGUACCCUCAAUCAGUCCUUGAUCAAUCAAGCCCAAUAAGUUGAGUCGAUUCCUCAACUGAUUCGACUGAUUCAAUUCACCUUCAACCGAUUGCACCUAAAAUGACAAAAACUUUCAAUUUGAAGUUCCAACCUUCCAACAACUUGUAUAAGCCCUUUUAAAAACUUUUUAAGACAAUUUCAAAGGUUUUGGCUCAAAGUUAUGAAUUAAAACAAAGAUUCAUCUAAUUUCAUAAUAAAACAUCAUUUUUAAACUUAAAUAUGGAUGAAAAAAUUAGCUUUGAAGUGUAUGAAAAAAGUUUUGGACCUAAGUGCACCAUAUAAUAUCAUUUUAGAAAUUUCCUAGAACACCUUAACUCUUCAAGAGAUUCAAAUCUUCAUGCCAUUGAUGAUUUUUUUUCAUAGUUGUUUAAGCUUAAUUUCUUUAGAAUUUUGCCUUAAAACUUAAAAACUUUACUUAAUUUAAAACGUUAGUAAACUUAACCUUGUUUUGCAAUCAUCAAAACUUGAUUAGGAAAACCCUAAGACUAACAAUGUAGUUGUUUUUAUCACACUUAAUAGUAAGUGCGAGGCUAAUUUUGAGAUGGAAAAGAGGUUUGAACAAGAGAAGAGCUUAAGCUCCAAUGAGCUAAUUUUGGGGAUUAUCUUAACCUAGUAUUUAGGAAAUUUGAGCAUAAAAAAUACUUAUAGGAUUAGCAAAGAAAGAUUUCUCAAAAACAUUUCCAAUGGUGGCCAUUCAAAUCAAAUAAAGGGCGCUCUAAUACCAAGAUAAAUUUCAAGAAGAAGCAAAUGAGAGAAAGAAGAUGUUGAGAAAGGAAUAUUUCUCUAAAUAGUUCAAAAAUGAGCAAAAACAAAGACAUAUCGCAGUACAAGACAAAAAAGAAAAAAUUAGAAUGAAAGCUUCUAAAGAUUGAUGUACUUUGCCACAUAGUUCAUAUGAAUUAGAUUAUCUUUCAAUUACAUUUUUUGAUCUAAUUAAGGAGAGUUUCAGUCUUUAAGAUCAAACCACUGUUAAUUUAUCACAUUUUCAAUCACCAAUUAGAUUGCAAUUAGCCUAGAAUUGACCAUCUUCUUCUCAAUCUUAUUUUUCACUCAAGUACAAAUUCAUAUUGACAUCAACUAACAAGUUUGCAUUCAAUUGAUCAAAUAUGUUCUUAAUAGGUCAAAUAGACGAUAUAAGCAUCUAUUGAACAAUCUAAGCAUCAAUUGUACUUUAUUAUAGUGACUUACUAGAGAAUAUUCAUAGACCAAAACAAAGAAAUUGAAAAUAUUAGAAAAUUUUGAUAUUUUUUGCCCCUGCAUUGUUAUUGGUUUGGCUAAAUUUGAAAUUGAAAAUUCUAAUAACAACCAAUAUAUGCUAUCAAUUUAAGCAAUUCCUUGCCUAUGUCCUCGUUUUGCCAUUUGUAAGCCUUUCAUUUGCUUUUCAAUUCCUCAUUUUCAUUAUCAUUCCUCAAAUGUAUUUUUGAAAAUACCUAUUCCUUCGAUGAGUAUAUCUUAAGUCUCAUUUAUACAAUUCAUUCAUAUUUUUCACAUUUCUUGUUGUAGAAUAGCAUUCAUCAUGUCUUGUUGCAUUAUUUUAAUUCAUGUAUUUAUUAAUUAAUAAAAUAUCAAAGUUUUGUCAAUUUAGUCAACAUCGGAUUCAUUUGGGUUAUGUUUAAUUCUUAGAAAGUACUAAGAAAAAUGUUAAAAAGAUCGCAUGUUUAAUUUUGCCAUGAAAAAUACGUAAGAAAGUUAAAUGUAAUUAAUAUUAGUAAAAAACUUAAAAAUUAUUUCAUCUUUAUAUAAAAAAAUUAAAUAUAUUAAAUAAGUUUGAUGGAGGAUAAAAAAUAAUUUAUUCACUUUAAAUCUAUUUUUUACUUUUUCUUUCGUAUUUUUCCUCAAACUUCAUAGAACCAAACAUAAACCUUCAGAUUUAGUGGGGUGUUCUGCAAAUCUGUUUUUUCAUUUUUUUAAAUCAGAUAGUUUUUUUUUUUCUUUUUAAAACAAAAUUAAUAAGUAACUCCAAAAACAAUAAAACAAAAUUAAGAGGUUCCCGUGGGAUGCGCCAUGGCAAAACCGGACAAGGCGUCGCCGGUGAGACAAUAGAGAAUGAAACCAUAGCUGGCAUCAAGGCAUGUAGUGACUAGCGGCCGGCAGAUUACGAAGUAUUGGUUGUAGCAUUACUAGGUAUUUGCUAUCGUGCGAUGCAAAUGCAAAAUGGAUCAUUAUGAAUGUUGUCCAUGGAAAAAGACGUAGCAUGGUGCUUCGCUGUUAUCAUUGUCUUUGGUAUUUUAGCAUUCAUUAGAGUUGUAUUUUGAUCAUUGAGCUUUUGGAUUAAUUCCUUAAUUUGUAGUUCAAACAACACCCAACACCCAGCCUUCGAAUUCUUUAAUUCAUGUAUGAGCCCAAAUAAUUGAAAUUGACUGGUUAAUCUUCCCACACUGCACCUAAAUAUGAAAAUUUAUAACAUUGUUGUAUGAAUCCAUCACUUGUGUCUGCCAGAAAGAUCAAAUAAGAGAAGCUGCUCCCUUGUUGAGUUGAGUAGUGGGAGUAGUGGGAUCUUUUCCCUCAUAGGCUCCAACAAGACUUUUACUUCUUCCAUGACUCUCAUAUCAGCACCGGCUCUGAUCAGCGGUGGGAAAAACAGCCAGAAGCUGGUAGCCACCACGAAGCCCACGGUGAGCGGCACUGACGCCGCCCAGUGCAGCCGCCACCGGCCGGAGAACACUGACUUAACGCCAACCUCUACCACCAAGCACACUCCAUGCAGCACAAAGAAGGACGUCAUCUCCCACGACGGGCUCACACGAUUGACGUAGUAGAACAGCAACUCGUGCAUCAAACCGGACACCAAAAACGUUGCCACCACCGCCGGGAGCGGCGACCAGCGCUCGCUCAUCACUGUCUCGGCUGCCGACUUUACGGGCUUGUAUACUGUGUGACGCAGCAGAUUCGUUACCAUGAGGUUCCACCUCCGUCCCCAGAAGUCCUGCAGCGAGGUCGACAAGUACGGUUCAUCAGACGGCUGCUCCACCUCCAGCCCCAUCGUGCAUCGCACCAGAGCGCUGCAGAGACUGAAAAGAACCUCGAGGAACAGAAAAACUUGGCAACAAAGCAGACCCAAGAAAAUUUUGGGGUGUACUAGUUCUUUAUACUGAUAAAAUCCGAUGAAAACCCCAAAAGCCAAGACUUUGACUGCAAAAUUAAGGGGUAAUCUUGGGGGUUUAUGGGGUUCUUGGCGAGACGGAUGUUGCUGAUUUGGCUUGAUUUUGAUGGGAAGACAAGCAAUGGCGAUGAAGACAAGAAGAGACUUUGGUGAGCCAGUGGAGAGAGGACCUAAAUCGAAGGAAAAGAGAGCGAGUCUGAAGGUGGCUAGCCAGGUGAUGAAGAAAGCAGUGAUGCCGGAGAGAAUGGCAGUAGAGAGGAAGAGAGGGAGAGCGACGAAAAGGGAGAAGAUUGGGAGAAGAGAAAGGAGUCUGAACUUGCCUUUGGGUAUCUUGGAGACGAUGAAGUAGGAGUAGCAGAGAGACGCAAGAACAGAGAGACAGACCUUGAUCAAACCCUUGAUCUCACCCCCCAUUUUUCUCAACCUUUCUACUGGUGAUGUUCGACCAUAUAUAAAUAGAUAUCCUUUUUUUCUAGUUAGGAAAGUGGGUUAGAUUUGGGAAGCCAUGAAAGAGUCUAGAAUGGCGCCUCUGCCUUUUCUUCUCCAUGGAAAAAUCUGUGACGAGUGAACAUUCUAUCCGCAUAAUUAAAUUACUCUUGAAAUGGAAAGACGUUUUCAUUUUUGUUGGAUUCUGUCUCAUCGAUGGAAAUAAAUAUUAUUAUUAUUAUUGUUAUGAUUAUUAUUAUUAUUAUUAUAUUUAUAAUAUAUUAGAUUAUAUAUUUGAAAAUUUAGAUUAUAUGAGUUACAUUAUUCACUUAAAUAAAUUGUUGAAAGGAGUGAAUAAUGAUGAAAAGAUAUAAAUUCCAAUUGAUAACUUAUUUGAAAAUAAUUUUUUUAUCGUUAAAAAAAAAAGUUAGAUUAAUAGAAAAUAGAAAAUAAUUUUUUAUUCUUAAAAAUAGACCAUAUGACAUUUUUAGAAAAUAUCUUUUAAUUUUUUUGUUUUACAAAAUAAUUAUACAAAUAUGAAAAAUAAUUAAAUAAAACAAAAGUUAUUUUUACAACAUAUUUUAAAAUAUAGAAAACAUAUUAAAAUUAUUUCAAAUUUCUAAAUAGAUAUCAUUAAAAAUUAUUUUUUUAGUAAAGAAAAUAGUUUUUAAGAAGAGUUUUUUAAAACCAUUUUAUAAUGUUUUAUGAAAUAAAAAUUUAUUUGAGAAUUUGAAAUGUAUUCAACAUAUUUUCUCUAUUUUUAAAUAUAUUUUAAAAUAACUUUUAUCUAUAAUCCUUUAUUUUUAAUCUUUCUUCCUAUUUGUAUAAUUAUCUUUGAAAUUGAUUCUCAAAAAAUAAUUGAAAUAUAUUUUUUUGAAAAUGUUAUAUUUCUUAUUCUUAAAAAUAGAAAUUUGCCUUUUGUUUUAUUCUUAAAAAUGUUUUCCUUUUUUUUCCUUUUUUUUUUUCUAAAGAACAAAAAUUGUUUUAAAAAACAAUUGCCUAAAAAGACCUAGGACCUGCUUGAUAAUUAACAGUCUUGAAAAAUAGUUUUUAAAAACAAUUUUUAAAAAUUGUUAUAUAAUGUUUUGUAGAAUAAAGUCUAUUUAAAAAUUUAAAAUAUUUUUAAUAUAUUUUAAAUAAGUUUUAAAAAUAAUUUAUAUGUUUAGUGUUUUAUUUUUAAUCAUUCUACAUAUUUGUUUAAUUAUUUUUAAAAACAACCCUCAAAAGCAAGUAAAAACAACAGAAUAUAAUUAAAAGAUAUUAUUUGAAAACACCAUAUUUUCUAUUUUCUGUUUUUAAUUAUCGAGCGUAUUUCCCUCCUUUAUUUUAAAACACAAAAAACUAUUAUUUAAAACAACCACCGAACAAGCCCCUAACUUUCCUUCUUUUAUGUUUUUUAUAUCUCAUAUACUCAUUUUACAUGUCAUUCAAAUAUUAAAAUAACAUCCUUAAUAUUUUAUUUUUCCACUUUCGAGACAUCAAAUAUUCCCUAAAUAACUUUACAAAUACCAUAGGUCAAAUUUUUGUUCUAAGAAUAAUGCUACAUACAAAAAUAUAAAAAAAAAUAUUUAUGUUAGAAGCAUCUGUUACUGAUUAUGUUUUACUUUUAAAAUGAUAUCAAAAUUUGUAUUUAGAAUAUGGAAUGGUAUCUGGUACGACCUUUCACAAAAUCAAAUUUUAAUAUAAAGUAUUUUCCACUUCCCAGAGCAUAACGUAAUUAUGAAGUUUGGAAUUUUGGAGUGAAAGGCUCACAGUCACAUGUUGGGCAUGGAAACCCUCGCCCGAUACCAUUAGAAGAAGAAGGUGCAAUGUCAGAUUCACAUGCCACAUUGAAAGCCUCCAUCCACCAAAAAUAUACUAAUAAAAUAACAGGCCAUGCCUGCCUAUCUGUAAGACAUAGUCAUCAAAUAAUAUAUCAUUGCAAAUACAAGGACAGUGGCAGUAGCGUUUUCUCCUUGACAAAAUCAAGUAAAAUUGAGUACUCCCCAAUAGUCUUAACAUCCACGUGGUUCCUUAACAGCUGCGGGAAGAACAGCCAAAAACCGGUGGCGGCCACGAACACAACCGUCAACGGUCUGGUGACCGCCGGGGGCAACUGCCACCGUCCUGCUGCAGCCUUCUUGGCCGCCACCUCCGCGGCGGUGCACACCCCUUGUAGCACGAAGAACCACGUGACUUCCCACGUGGGAGUCACUCGCGUGAGGUAGUAGUAAAUUACCUCGUGCAUGAGGCCCGAGACUGUAAAGGCCGCGAGCAUUGCCAGGAGAUGUGAGCACCUGGGCCCAAGUCUACUCGCCGUAAAACCACGGAUGGGAAAGUAUAUGGUGGGGCGCAGGAUACUGCUUACCAUGAGGUUCCACCUACGCCCCCAGAAAUCCUGUAGAGAAGUUGCGAGGUAGGGUUCAUUGAACUGUGGCUCGAGCUCCAGGCCGAUGGCUCGAGCCGGGGCUGCAGCCAGGGCCAGGAUAAGUUCAGCGGCGAGGUACACGUGGCAACAGUAGAGAGCUAAGAUGACGUUUGGAUGCAAAAAUUGUCUGUACUUGUAGACCUUCAACAAUGCAGCUAAAGCCAACGCUUUGAUGAGAAAGGCGACUUUCUGGCCGGUUUUGGAAUAUGGACUUGUAAUUUUGUAGGAAUUGGGAUAUGGGUUUUGGCUGAUUUUGAUAGGGAGGGAGGCAGUGCAGAUAAAGUGGAGGAGGGGCUGUGGUGGUGAAAGGGGGCCACGGCCGAAGGAGAAGAGGAGAAGUUUGAAGUUGGCGAGCCAAACAAGCAAGAAGGCGGUGAGGCCGCAGAGGUGGAAGGCGGAGAGGUGGAGAGGGAGGGUGGUGAAGAGGAAGAUGAUGGGGAGGAGAGAGAGGAGUCUGAAGAGGCCUUUGGGGAUGGAGGCUGAGAUGAAGUAGCAGUAGCAGAAAGAUGCUAUGGCUAAGAUCCAUACAUAGCCGAAGCUUUUCAUCUCACUGUUCUCCAUCUUUGAGCCUUUCUUCGAAAGCGCAGAUCGUUCAGCGAUUUGAAUUAUCACAGCUCACAAGGCAUUCGAGCUUCUUCUUUUUUUUUUCUUUUUUUUUUGCUUUUUUCUAAUAAAUUUAUUCUAUAUUUUCCUCCCCUUAAUCAUUCACCAAAGUCAUUUAAGAUCAAUGGUCACAGAUCGAAAAGGAAAAUUCAUGUAAUGGACAAGUCAAGUUAGGUGGGCUUAUUUAUUAAAAUAAAUAUUUUAUUAGAAAAAUUAGAUAAAUAUCCAGAAUUGAAAAAAUAAUUUACCAGUAUUGAAAGAAUGGUUGUUGUAUUUUUAUUUAUAAUAAAUUAUAAAACUAGCAUCUCUUCUAUAAAAAUUUAAAUUAAUAUAAUAAUAAUAAAUUUAUUAUAAGUGAAUAAAUAUAAAUGGGAAAAGUGGGUUUUAUUCACUAAUUUUAAAAAAUAUAAAAAAAAACUUCAAUUUUAUAAAUUAAUUUUAUAUUCAUUUAUUUAAAAAUAUUUUAAAAUAUAUACAUUUUUUCACAAGCCAAAUAUAUUUUUCUCCUAAAAUGAUCUUUUACUUAUCAGGUUAAUAAUAGCAAUCGACAAUUUCUUUUACUAUGAGAACCUAUUAAAAUAAGAAAUUUUAAAAAUUAAAAAUAUAAUUAAAAUUUUAAAGUUAAAAAUAUAAAAAUAAAACAUUAACUUUUAGCUAAAUGACACUAGUAAAAAAUAUAGAUAUCAAAAAAGAGUUCGAAAUACAAUAAAAAUUAAUAUUUUAUUUUUUAAAGUUUUUUGAUCUUAAUUAUAUUUAAUUUUUUAUUUUUAUUUUUUUUGUUUUAAUUGUAUUUAACUUUUAAAAUUUCUAUUUUAUUAAAGGAAAGAUGAAUGUAUUUAUAUAAUACAUUGUAUAAAAUCAUUAUUAAUUAAAAAAUUAAAAAAUUAAUAUUUAUGACUUGAGCAUCUUAAUGAAUUUUUUUCAAAAUGAUUUAUAUAUAAUAUUAUAUAAGAAAAAAUUUGUAAUAUAUUGAUUUAUAAAAUACUUUUAUCAAAUUAAAAUAAUAAAUUAAUUUUUUGUUAAUUUUAUUUAAUAUUAUCAAGUAAAAUGAUAUUUAAAAAAGGUGUAUAUGUUUUAAAAUAUUUUUAAAUAAAUAAGAAUAAAACUGAUUUAUAAAAAAUUUUAUUUUAUAUUUUAUAUUUUUUCAAAUUAGUGAAUCAAAAUCCCUCGGAUAUAAAUCAUAUUUAAAAAAGAAUCACGUUCUUCAAAGUAAUUAAUGGGCACUGGAACCUAAACGCCAAAUAUGUGUGGAGGCCAUAAUUAGAAUUUGGCUUUCCACUGCCUCGUCAUUCCCAAGAUUCACUUUCACAUGAUGAGGAAAAAAAAAUUCAUUAAAUCUAUUUAUUACAAAAAUAAUGCGAGUUGGGCGGCCACAUGACAUUGAAAAAUGCGACAAAAAGGAAAGUUGACCAACGUAUCAUAUGGCAAAAACAAAGGAAAACAAAGGCAUGUGAAAGAAAAGUUGGCCCAGAGAUGAUUAUUAUCUGCAUAAGAGAAAAGCAGAAGGGUCAGGGAUGAGCCAUGAAAGGUGGUGGAAGUGUUAAGAAUUUCUGCUUCACAAAAUCAACCAAAAUUGAGUACUCCCUUAUGGCCCUCUCAUCUAUGUGAUUUCUCAACAGUUGUGGGAAGAACAGCCAGGCAGCCGUCACACACACAAAUCCAAUCGUCAGCGGCCCGGAAACUGCCCGAUGCAGCCGCCACCUACCACCCAAUGCCUUCUUCACCACUACCUCGGAGACGGUACACAAGCCUUGAAGAACAAAGAAGCCGGUGACCUCCCACGUGGGGCUCACACGCGUUAUAUAGUAGUACAAUGACUCAUGCAUGAGACCCGACACCAAAAAUGCCGCAAGCACUCCUGGCACCGGGGCCCACUUCUUCCCUAAAAUACGCGUACAAAUACUUCUCACUGGGUCGUAUACAGUCGGCCGUAGAAUGUUGGUGACCGAGAGGUUCCACCUACGACCCCAGAAGUCUUGCAGAGAGGUGGUCAGAUAGGGUUCAUUGAAUUGUGGCUCCAGCUCAAAGCCUGGUAUGGCACGGGCUGGGAUUGCGGCCAUGGCUUGAACAAUUUCUAAGGCCAGGUACAUGUGGCAGCAGUAGAGGAAUAAGACCACGUUUGGAUGCAGAUGGCGUUUAUAGUUGUAGAUCCUAAUCAGGAUAGCAAAAAGCAAUGCUUUUAUAGCCAAUAGAAGUGGCCUAGGCAAUUUCAUCACAAUUUCUGAUAAGGGGUCCGUGCUGUUUUCAGACACUGAAUGUGAUUUUGGAGAUGGGACAGUCUUGAUCUUAAUAGGAAGACAAGCAAUAGAAAUGAAGCGGAGGACAGAUUUUGGGGGGUGUGAUGGGAAUGAUAAAGGGCCAUGGCCGAAGGAGAAGAGGAUAAACUUGAAGUUGGCAAGCCAAGCAAGGUAAAAGGCUGUGGUCCCAACAAGAUGGGCGGAGGAGAGGUUCAAGGGGAGGAUGAUGAAGAGGUAAAACAUGGGAAGAAGAAAGAGGAGCCUGAAAAGACCUACCGGGAGGCGGACUACAAAGAAAUAACAAUAACAGAUAGAGCUGAUAGCUGAGAUCCAUACCUUGAUCAAGCUUUUUAUCUCACCAUCCAUGUCUCUGCCGCCCGUCUCUUCUUUGAUGGCUUUAUGUUGCAUAAAACACAAUCCACCUGUAAGAAGUCACUCACGCAAGUAUUUUAUGUAAUAGACUCGGUUAAGACAGUAGAGAGGCCCUAGAAAAAUGAUCAUGAAGGGGACCCUCCAGAAAAUUUUAAACCCCCCAACACUUCUCUCUCACACAAAUUAAAAUGAUGCCUAAACUUAUAGAUAAGAAGCAUUUUUAAAUUCUAUAACUUAAGGAUAGUGUCAUAGUACUACUAUGCACAGCUACAUAUAACAGGAAUCCAAAGCUCUAACCAGCAUCAAACAGUAGAGCAUACCUUUCAACAUCCUACAACAUUAAUGGUCAAAAAACGGAAUCAUUAAAAGAAAUAUGGUGGCCUAUCUACUCAUUGAGCCAACCAGAUGAGUUUUGCUUUGAAAAUGGGUGAUGAAGGCCCGGAGCAAAGCCCAUUGAAUCAGCUUGGAAUCCAGGUCGGGGGGGUGCAAGAGGAUCAUAGAUGUUAUUUCUAAUUGGCAUGGGCCGUUCAUAUCCAAAAGAAUUCAUCCUUGUGUGGUUUAAUUCAUCGAGUUGAGGCGCAUAUCGCUGCAUUGCUGAUGUGUUCAUCCUACUGUAAGAUGACUCCGCUCCUGAACCUGGAUGCCCAUAAGUAGAUGGAAAUGAACCCAUUUGGCCAAACCGGGGAUCCUGACCAGCUAAAUAGUUGCUCCUCUGAGACAUACCAAUGGGAUCAUGUAGCCCAUAAGAUUGAACUUGUGAUCGUAUAUCUGCAUUCCUUCCAUACUCAUCUCUGUCUCGGAUGCUAUGCCUAUAACCAAGGUUGUCAAUGCUGCCUCUCAUGUAACUGGUAAAUGGUUCCUCUGAGUUCCUAAUUCCAUAAUCAAGGCCAGGACUAACACCAGUUGACCAUCUGUGGAUCGUACUAGAAAAAGGUUCUUCACUGUCCAGCCUGUACCUCCUUGCCAUGUCCUCUGGAAUGCUAGCAUGAGACCCACCAUAUCCUGUUCUCUGUAAACUUGAGUCAGGAACACCAGGCUGGAAAUGUGGAUAAACUUCCUCGCCAACCUCCACAGGUGAGGACUUCUUGAGGGCUUCAGGUUGGUGAAUGUCCACUGUGGACCUGGCAUCACUUGCACGAGGUGAGGAAGUGCAAGAAGUUCCCUUGCACAUCUCACUCACAGGUGUCAUUAUCUGUUUGUCAUCUGAUAUAUUCUCUGUUCUUUUUUCAUGCUUCCCUUUACCAUGCCUCUGUUUUGAGUUCUCAUUGAGAAGCUUCUUCCCAUGGUCUUCUCUGUCAACACCACUGUGAGGAGAACUUUCUACACGACCUGCAGUCACAAUUUCUCUUCUUUCUUCGUGUUCAAGUUCAUGAUUUUCCACUGAAUGCUCAUCCAGCAUCAUGGAGACAUGACCAGAAUGAGUCUGAUCCGCCAUUGGAUGAUCAAGGACUGGCUCUUCAUUCUGAAUUUUUUCCAAAUGUGACACUCUGCGUCGCCUGGAAACAUGGCCACACUUUUGAGCAAUGGCCCUGUGUUUAGUAGUCCAAUCUUGCCGGCUCCAAAGGUAGAGUAAUGGUGGGUUCACAUUCCAUUGCUCAAUUUGUUUGUCAUUUACAUCAACAGAUCCAGGCAAAUAAAACGACUGAAAGAGAAGAAUACACCAGCAUCAACCACCAAAACAUAUUUGUAUUUUGAUGAAUAUAGUUCAACUUCAGCUAUAAAGAAAUUGUGAACUUAGUAUACCUUGCCUGAGAGUUCAUUAUCAUCCUCCCAAAUCAGAUCAUAUGGUGGUCUCUUUUUAUCUAGCCUGGUGAAGGUAGAACACAUCAGAAAGGGAGGGAGGAAAAGAGAGGGAUUCAGGAAUAAUUGAAAGCCACUACCUUUCCGUUUCUGGGGGAACAAUAAGAAUAAGGAGUUUUGGUUUAAACUGAAGAGCUUUAUUAAUAAACAUGUUUGCCAGAGACGCUUUAACUCCAAAGGGAGGAUUUAGCCCCAUGAUCUACAAGAAGCAGCAAGAACAAAGAAAUGUUGAAGCAAUUGCCAAUAGGGUAGAGAAAUCCAAACACCAUACUCUUUAUAAUGAAUACAAGCUUUUAUUUCUCACCAAUUGUGACCCUGUAGGUAAUUCCUUCUGUUUAACACUCAUCCAAUCCCUCUUCUCAAAGUUAAAAUCAUUCUGCACAGAAGUACAGAAAGAGAUAAAUAUAAAUAAUACACAGACACAUACAGAUGAGGUGGCACCCAACUAGACUAACAUAAGCAAGUAAUGAAUUUAAUAAUCACUGUAACAAAACUCCAUUUUAGAGUUACAUAUAUGCAAGCAAUGAAUUUACAAUUACAACAAUAAAGCUCACUGCAACAACUUAGCACCAAAAAACUUAACACAUGAUAAUGGAAUAGACCAGGGAAAAAGACAAACACCAACUGCCCUUUUGUCUACAUUUCAUCCCUUAAAGUUCAAAUUAGGGAAUAAUCAAAGAUGAAUUAAAUAUCACAUUCUUUGAGACAUGGGUCACUGGACCAUACUGGAGAGGAUGUCACUUCCGAGGAACAAAAUCUUUUAUGUAAAAACAUCAAGGUUGCAGGUUUACUACAAACAGAAUGUAACACUUGACUAUUAGAUCAGCUAUUCUCAAUUCAACCCCACUAAUCAAAGAACAUUCAAGUUUUUAACAUGUUCAACUUUUAGCUGCUCAAUUUUCCUAAACCCUUACUUGAUGCAGGUCAAGAUCAUUAAAAAGACUAAGCUUUUAUAUAACAAAAGCAAUUGUUGAAUGUCCAGAUCUUGGAGAGUUUCAAGUCAAGUGCCAAAACAAUAUCCAUGGCUAGAUGCAACACUAUGUCCAUGUCUGCAGGUCAUAGUAAAUAAAAGAAAAAUAGGAUGGAGCACAUCAUAGAAAAAUUGGGUGAAACUCAUGUAAUCAGAGCAAUGAUCUAAGAACUAAAAGCAAAGAUCACCUUGGGUUGAAUAACAUCAUAAUUUUUGUAUGAGCACUUCUUCCCCAUCUCCUCAAGCUUUUGUUUCAUCAGGCAACUGAAAUCAUUAGCACCGCAGCAAAAGUCGACUAUCUGUUUAAGAGAAAAUUCAUAAUCCAGUACCCACAUUGAGAAAUCAUAAUAGAGGUAGGGCUCUAAAGAGGCUCAAACCAUUCGAAUUCAGCUUGAGAUUGGCUCAUCCUUAGCUUGUUCAAAUGCAACCCAAAAGGGGGGGAAAAAGAAAAAAAAGCCAAUCUCAAAUAAUAAUUAAGCCAGUUUAAUUAGCUGAACUCAAGUGUUAACAAGCUCAGUUCAAAAAGGUCAUGAGUAACUCGCAUAAUGUUCAUACAUUUAUAUUUUAUUCAAUUAAUUUGGUAUAUGUUUUUAACAUUUUUUUUUGCAAAUUAAUAUAAUAUUUAACAAAAUAGUACUAUUUGUUAGAGCAUACUAUAUACAUUGUGGACAUAAACCUUACAAGUUUCUUUUAGGAAAAUCAGUUGUCUAACAUGGUAUUAGAGCCUCAUUUGACCUGUCAUGCAUCUGAACCUUAUUGCAUGUUUAUUUCCUCAAUUUAUUAAAGCCCAAAAAGAGGCCACCUUGGCUAUGUUUGGGAACUGUUCUAAAGAAUAGUUUUUUGUUUUUGAGAACAAAAAAUAGGAAAACAUGUUUGGUUGUCAAUUGUUACUAUAACAAGUUUCUGAGAAUAGUUCUAAAAACAGAGUGUCUUUUGAGAACAUAUUUAAGUUUUUUUUUAUAGAUAGAGAACAUAUUUAAGUUUUCUAGAGGCUGUUUUAAAAAUAAUUGUAUAUAUACAAAGAAUGACUGAAAAUAAAAGUUAUUUUUAAAAAAUAUUUGGAAACAUAGAAAAUACGUAAAGAACAUUCCAAGUUCCCAACCAAACUUUUAUUUUGGGAGAAUAGUUAUUUUUAAAAUUGCUGUUAAAAACUGUUUUCAAAAACGUUCCCAAACAAGUCCUUUAUUUCCCCAAUUUAUUAAGUCCGUGUGUAUAAAUAAGCCUAAAUAAGACUACACAUGAGGGAGGGUAUUAGAGCACACAAUAUACAUUGUGGACCCAAAUCUAACAAGCUUAAGUUUUUAGUUAAAUUGGUUGUCUAACAAUAUACAUACAUACAUUUAUAUAUAUAUAGUAAAAUCUCAAUAAAUAAAUGUUUAAUAAACUAAUAAAAUUUUGUGGCCCCAACUCGAUUUAGUGUACUAAAUUAAGAACUUCAUUAAAUGCAUAAGAUAAUAAUUUUUUUAGAAAUUCUUAAGGGCCCAAGGAAAUAUAAAUUAAUAAUUAAUGAAAAACAUAUAAAAAUAGCAAACAAAAAUUCAUAAUACAAUAUUAAGUAACCUUUUUCAACUUCCAUUGUCUCAAUUCAACUCUCUCUCAAAAUAUGGAUCUAAACUUGUCUGUCUUUUCUUCAUACCUAAACCGAACUCAACCUCAUCCUUAAUUUUUUGCAAUGCAUGUACUACCUAGUAUUUUAGUAGUCUCUUAGGCUUCUAUGUAUUAAAUUUUGACUACAUUUUAGUGUUUUUAAUUUAUAAGUCAUACAUGUAUAAGUGUUGUAAUAAAAACAUAAUGCUCGCUCUGUAUUAAUAAAUAUCUAUGUAUCAACAAAUUAAUAAAUUAUUUUUUAUUAAUAAAUCAAUAACCCCAUUAAGAUAAUAAUUUUUCUCAGUCCCCAGAUUAUUAUUCUAUAGAGAUUUUACCAUAUAUAUGAGUGUGUAAAAAUCAUAUUCUUAAUUUAAAUAUUUAACAAAUUUAUAAUGUGUAAAUAUUAUUAAUUACAUCAACCAUACAAAAGAAAGCAUGAUAAUAAAUCAAAUAUAUUUUUCAAUAAGCAAGCAAAGAAAUAUAUUACAAGCGUCUAGCAAAAGGGCACACUGAAACACAUAGAACGUAUACAAGGGCACCAAAAGGCCAGAUAAUAAAUAAAACACGAUGAUGCUUUAGUAGUAGAGAUUUUCCAUUUUUUUUAAUUAAGGAAUCAAAUGCUCAAAUCAUUUUUUAGCCUUCAAAAAGGGCUAAUUUUCUAGUUUUAAACUUUUACUUGAGUUUGAACUUUAACUCAUCUUUCAAUGAGCCAAGUUGAGCUAAACUCAAGCUUACUUAAAAAAAAUGUAAGCUUGAGCAAAGUGCCUCAAACUUCUGCCAAGCUCAAGCCAAGCCCAAUAACCAAAACAAAUGAAAUGCAAAUCAUGUAAGGAGUAAAAGUACUUACUGUGUCACCAUUUUUUACAUAAUAAUGGAGCUUCUCAACAAUCUGCACAUUGGAAAUCAUUCUUUUAGGAUCACCAAAUUUGGAUGUAAGUGGAAAUUUGUACUCAAUUUUUAUAUAAGGUAGAAAGUCCAAAUCCAAUAAUGGGGGAAGAAGAAAAUGUAAUGAGAACAUAAUAUAACUAGAGGAAGAUUCUCUAUUCAAAUAUGAGCUCUUGUUGAAUCAAAGUCACUAGUCAAAGAUCAAAGUACCAAAAUGCUCACAGAAGCAACCUUGAAAGUUAAGAACACAAGUAUUAUCAGAAGUCUCCAGUUCUAACCAUUAGAAACUAUUAAUUUGAGAAUUGAAAAUUAUACUUAUCUCACACAAAAUUGAACUAAUUCUUUUCGAAACUGAUCAGAUUAUACUACAGUUCCAUAGAAAAAGACAACUCCAAUGGGCCCGAAUUCCCAACCUCUAACAUGAGGUUACUUGGGAGCCUCCAGUUACAAACUGAGCCACAACUCAGUGGCAACCAGCAAAUUACAAAUACCUAACAACUUUUUCAAACAAAAGUUCGAAUGGAAUGUUUAGUGAAGGAGGAAAAAAAAUAAGAAAUUGAAAUAGCUUACAUCAUUUCUGAUCAAAAAAAAAAAAAAAAUAGCUGUCAUCGUUAGAUUUCACUUCAAUUUUUUUACCAGAACAAUAGCAUUACUAAUUAGUUCUUAAGCUAAGCUUUUAAACUUGCAAAGCGCAUAAAUGGAGAGUUUUUAGAUGCAGCAAAUCUUAAUCUGGAUGUUAUUAUUUGAAUGACCAAUGCCCACGAGCAUUUGAAACAUUAUAUGACAGAAUAAGAGGUUGUGCUGGCUGCUGAUAGCUCCUCCACACUAACUCCAUAGGCUACAAUGACAAAUAGCAUACCGCCACAUCAAAUGAUAGCCAGGGAGCCUCCAUCAUCGCAUGGGGAAGGAACAUUCUAAUAAGGUAGUAUUGGACACAAAUGUACUUAAGAAGAACCCUUUUUGCUUCAUAUCAGAAAAGUGAAAGUGAUAAACGAUUGUUGCUUUCACCUGACAUGGUUUUCCAUCACUGCGGUUGAUAAAAUAACCUGAGGAAGGUUACUGUAAUUUUAGGAACACAAGUGUAGGUAGCUCUGUGUAUCAAAACCUGAGCAGAUAAGUAUAAUUCACCCUCCAUUGAGUGGAGGUGAGGUAGGACAAUGUGAAGCAAUACACUGCAUUUGCUAACUGCAUAUCCUAACUACCAAGUCCUCUGUGUAGAAAAAUCACUUUUGAGAAAAUAAACAAGUGCCUUGGGUGAUGCAUGAAAUUCCAACAAGAUACAGUGUUGAUUGGGCAUAAAAAUGAGUUGAACUAACAAUAUGUAUUUUAAAGGAAGAAGAUUACAGGAAAAAUGAAAUCACUAUAAAUUAAAUAUAUUAAUCAAAAAUUUUGUUUUUCUCACUACAGAUGUUAGGAUAAAAAUAGUAUAAGAAAAUGCAGAAAAUGAUAAAGCUAGUCAACAAGUGGAAGCUUCCAUGACCAUAAAGACACACUGUUUACCUCUUUAAGCUUGUCCACUUUUGUGAAGUGGCGACCAAAAGAAGUAUACCGCAUGCCAUGGAGAAAAGGUGCAAGAUAAACUUUAAGCUUGUUCUGCAGAAAUACGAAUAACAAGCUCAUGACACAAGAUUACAAAGUUGUUUUCACAUAUCAAAUAUCAUAAGUCAAGAAAAUAGAUGCAAAUCACCAUGGGCAUUGCAACCCAAAUGGUAUUGAGGGGCUUCCAAGAGACCUCAUAUUACAAGGUCAUGAGUUAAGUCUGUCUUGUUAGUUUAGAGUUUACUCCCAAGAAAAUAACCAUCUCCAAAAUACUUGAGAGUUAAAACAAUAAAAAGGAAAAGGAAGCAACAGACAUAACAACAGGAGCUACAUGGAAAUGAAAGCAAAAAACUGUGACACAUGAACUUGUUGUAUAUAGACCCAAAAAAAGAAAGUGGAUGCAAAAACAUUUCUUUUCCUUAGUCAAGUAACCUCAACAACCAAAUUACAGAGCCAACCUAGGUUUCUGAAAAUGACAUGCCCAACUUCAACUUAAGAAGCCAAUUCUUACCUCUUUUUCUUUUUCUGCUCUCCUCUUCUUUCUUUUUUUCCAUUUUUUUUUUUCUUUUUCUCUGAUUUUGUUGCUUGCAACUUUUAAUUAUCAUUUAGGCUCUAAUCAUUGAAUAAGCUAAAAUGAUUAUUCCAUCCUUUUUCUUAGACACACAGAAGGGAACAUCUCACAAGCCCUACACAUGAACAGUAGAUUCAAGCCCUACACAUGAAUUGAAGGGUAUGUUUAGCAAUGCACAAACACCACUGGAUGAACCCCAUGUAGAAAGAGACCUAAGGCAAUUAUCAUCAGCAAUGCCUAAACUAGUGUUUUAAUGGCACCUGGUCCUUGAGUAAUGAGAAGUCCACUAGCUUUAAGUUGGCCAGUCAAAAUUCCACCUAAUUCCUGUCCUUAAUUAAAAUCAUAGCAUCAUAAAAAAAAAAAAUUCCUUUAAAACACUUUUUAUAAGCAUAUAGAAUUUGACAAGAAAGCUAGAAGGGAUGAGAUGAGCCACCAUGCACAUGCAAGUGCACAAAGAUGUGGGCUACGUCAACAAUCAUCAUGCAAGAUACACAAAAAUGUGCACUACAUCAACUUUUAUCACUGACUCAAAAUCAUGAAAAGGAUGAAAAAUCCAAAGCAGUUCUUUUUUUGCUGUUUAGGGAGAAAAAUGUGCUUUACAUCGACUAUUAUACAAUGCUUUCAAAACGGAAGAAUCACUGAACUGGAGAAGUCACUUGGUCACAGUUUAUUGGUCAGACCAAUGGUUCAACUGCAGUUGAACCGCAAUGUCAACAUGACAUCAUAAAUAUAUAAUUACAACAUUUAAAUGUUAAGAAAAUCUAUCUAAAAAUGAAAUAAAAUUUUAUUAUUUAACUCUACUUCAACAAUCAUAUAUUUCGUUAUUCUACCAUUGUUAUAUUAUUUUUACAUUUAUCAUCUUACAAAGCAAUAAGAGUAUUUUAAUUUUCAAAAGGUGUAUAUUGGUCUUGACCAUGUAUAUAUCAAACAGUAAUGUUGGCACAAUGGUCAUUGAGGAAAAAAAAAUUUUGUAGGAGCAAUUGGAAAUGAAAAUCCAUAUAUCAAGCCCAACCUCCUGCAUGCAUUCCAUAAAAAUGAAAAGGAGCCAGAUUUGGAUGGAAAACCAGGCUGAGUCAGCCAGUUCAACACUAAUUUCAACCAAGUCAGGCUGAAAAGGUAAAAUGAACCUAAAGGACCACAGGCUGAUGGUUGGACCGACUAGUUUGGUUCGGUUUUUAAAACAUUGAUUUUAUACACUAAAGAUGGUAAAUAUCCUUAUUUUCCAAUUAUAGCAUCGUCAAAGGAAAAAAAUUCUCCUAGAUUCAAAAAAAAUCCUAUCGAGGUGACAGGUGGAGUGGAAGCCCAAUAUUACUAAGCUCUUGUACCAAAGGCAAAGAACAGCAUGCUGAAAUGGGAUAAUAAAUAAAUUUUAAAUACAGCUAGUAACAAAAAAUAGGAUCCAGAGCUGGCAACCACCUUCCACUUAACUAUCUGGUUCAAAACCUCUGGCUCACAAACAGCUUUUGCAUCUUCAAUACUGCCCCCUCCUUCUAGCUUCUUUAAAGCUGCUCGAAGAGCCUGCAAUAAAAGAUAAAGUAAAAGCAUCAACAGUAAAUUCUUUUUCAGUAAAAUGACACCAUGGUUCAAAGCUUUGAUUUACACUUCAAAACUAUCAAGACAUACCUCAAUAGAGCCCUCCACCUUUCCCUGUGUAAUAGUCCUGUCAACUGUAUUUUUUGACGAGUAUGCAUGGGUAGAUGGCACUUUGUGCUUUUUCAUGACAUCUUCCAAAGUUAUUAAAGACUUUGACUCCUUAAUUAUGGCCAAUAUUCUGCAUUACAGGAUGUCACUUCCAGAAUAUGAGAUGAUUCGAAAUAUGUACCAAAAAAAUUCCACUCCCAACCGAAUGCAAUUAGUAUAAAUCUGAUGAAAUUUUAGAAAAUAAUGAUGCAAUUAUCUAGUAAUGCAAAGAGAAGUGUAUAACCUAUUCUCUGAAUCCCGAUCUAAUGAAGGCAAUGAACUGCUCGUUUUCUUUGUGACAACCUUUUGUUCCAGUUCACUAUUAGGUGUAUCCUCCUUCCUAGGCUCAGACCUAUUCUUGAUUAGGGCAUAUAACUGUUCUCCCAAGGAUGUCUUGUUUUCAUCAGCCAUGGAUGACUUAUCCACUUUCUUUGAAAUGGAUUUUACAUUGUCAUCCAAAGAUUUUUUGGAGAAACCAGUUACUUUGAGUCUCUUUGAAGGAUCUGGUCCAGAUGAUCUUUUCUCACUUUUUUUGGUAGAAUCACCAUCUUUCACAGUAGAAGACAACUUCUCAACCUGUUUCGUUGCCUUGACAGCCAUUCUUUCACGUGGGGAGUCUUCUGAGACCAGACUUCUCUUCUUUGACACAACCUUGUCCAAGUCCUUUCUGCUUGAGAACAACUCCGAUCUUCGUUUUUCCAUUUUUUCUUCAUCAUUAGGGAAUUUUAUGUGAUCUCUUAUAGGGGUCCCAAGUAGUUCAUCAAUCUCAUGUUUUCUGGUCAAAGUAAUUGAUGAUAAAUGUCACGAGUUGCUACAGAAAAUAUAGAGAAGAAAAAAAGCUUAUCACAUUAAAUGCUCACAAGCAAUAUAUCAAAAUACGGUUGGGCAAUAGGCCAUCCCAAGCCCUCUGUAUGAUUCCUUCUUCAUCCAAGUCUUCAAAAGAAAUUUUCCUGAUAAAAAUAACUUGAGCAUCAACCAUCCAUACAUUACCCAUACACUACUAAUUAAGUAAAAAAAUCAUAAUAUUUUGUAACAAUAUUGAAAGAUAAAAUAUGAAUCAUAGAAACAAUCAGGCAGUACCUAGGCAGGCAUUUCCUAUGAUAUGACUUGGGACAACGUCUACAUAUAGCAAACUGCAACUCCAGAUCCUUUUUAUCUUCUCCUUGUUUACAGACAUGGCAUCUAUGAAUAGGGCAAGCAAAUAAUUCCCCUGCAUAAAUAUUUUUCUGAAGCUCUUCUGCUGCAGCUUCAUCCUCCCGGUGAAGCAGUUUUGCAACGCAUUGUGGAUGAUAAAAUCGUCCACAGGUUGCAUUAGCACAGAGAAAGACCUAAAAAGCAAUUGGUGAAGAAAAUAUGAGCCACUGAAGUUAAGAUCCACAUAGAUAGUACAUUCAUGGAGAAAAACUGGAAGAAACAAUCCUUGGGAAUCUUUGAAAUGGCAAACUAAUUCCCAAUCAGUUAACCUAUAUUCUAACCGCAGUAAUCAAUUACGACUACAAUAAUCUGAUACAAGAGACAAACGGGUCAAUUCCGAUGCAACUAUGUGAAGAAAAUAAAAAACUUGUGAUAGCAAACAUAAUAGGACAUCAGAUGUGUUAAAAAUUAAUGCUGAGGAUUUAUGGAAGUGGUAAUCUUUUAACUGAAAUACCAAGUAAUGACUAGCGUCUGAGGGGGCAAAGGGUGUGUUCAAAGUUUGGAACACACCAAAAGAAAGGCAAAAAAAUUAUUUGAAGCUUUUAUAGCUAAGUUAUCCCAACAAUACUUUGUAAAUCUGACAGAAUCACAGGGAGCUACAAAAACCUCAGCUGUCAAUGUUCUAAUUAAGUCAUCAAACAGAAAAAUAAUAUAAAAUCAACAAACCAAAAUUCCAUCCAUUCAAUGUUUUAUAGCAGCUUUAUACCUCAGCGCCUGAAGAUUUGUCAGAAGAGCCAAGCUUCCCACAAGAGAAACACUGGUGCUGCUUGUAUUUACAGUUUUUACAAUAAAAAUUCUGCAUGGCCUGCCAUGUAAAAUAAAAUGAAAGUAUGAAAAAAGAAACAAGAAGAAAAACUCAAAAUCAAAAAAUGGCCCAGGAGCACAUAUCCACGUGCACACCAGAAAGUAAUAAUAAUAAAUAUGAAAAAAAUAGCAUACUUCUACUUGAGCCACAGACAUUCCAAGUGUAGCACAGAGUGAUUCCUCUCCAGCUUCUUUAGUUGCAUGAAAUGACCUCAUACAUCUCCCUUCACAGCUGCAUCAUAAACAAUAACAUAGAUUUUAAAAUGUACUUAUCAAAAUGAUGCUCAGUUAAUCAAAUACAAAACCAUGAUAAGAUCUGUCUAAAGCUAGGUAAUAGUUUAAAAGACAUAAAAGCGGUGCAUCAUAUUACUUGGAGGGAGAAAGAUUAGACAAAUAUAUAAAAGUAGCAAGCAAACAACCUUCUUGGAAGAUUAAAGCUGCCAUGUAGAACUAAGGAAUUUCAUGACAAAUCUUUUGAAAAUUAGACAAUAUUUUCCACAAGGACACACAAAAACAAAUGGAUCUAAUGGUUUUAGUGCAUCAGAAUAUAAGAAUCUAAUCAUUAUGUCCCCAGUCAAACAACCCUUAUACUUCCAAACAAACUAAUGAGAGUGUACAUUUUGUUUAUAUAUUUCAUUUUUACAUGAAAUUUGUUUUCUCCAUCAAGGGAGUAUGUUAGGGCAUUGUAUAGCAUUCAAUUUUAGUCUGCAGAUAUAACAGAGCUACAUCUGCUGCAUGAUGAUGACAAAAAACAAGAAUCACUCAACUCUUUUAUAAUAGUUUAUACCAAAAAGUAAAAAUAUAAAAAUAAAAUAAAAAUGAGCCUGACAAUGUCAGCACAUGUUGUCACUAUGCAUCAAUAGUUAUAACAAUAACAAUAACAAUAAAAGAAACAGCAAACUCAACCAGACUAGAAACAACCAUAAUGACGAUGAUGAAUUAAACCUUAAAUUACCAGGGAAUCUUCCAAGGACACUUAAAUUUUAUGCAAUACAAGAUGAGGUCAUGGAGAUGUAAUAGAAGUUCUCAAGUACAAAAGGAACAUCUUAUCAAAAAAUGUAAGUACAACUGUAAUAAAUAAAUAAUGCAUACCACAAAAGAUCACCACCAUUAUCACACAUCGAACACACAGAAUCAAACAGGUCCUCCUCUUCAUCAGAACCAACUUCUCCGGUUUCACUUAUUCCAUCUUCAUCCAUAUAAUCAACUAUAAACCCAGGCUUUGAUGUAGUUGGAACAUCCUGCUAAACCAACAAGUGCACUCGCUCAAUAAAGAAAAACUUGCACAAAAAGGAAUAAUCAAGUUAAAGAUCAAAGUUUUAAGAGGACAAGUGGGCAAAAACAGAAAAGCACGAGAGUCAAACCUCAAAAGAUUUCCUCUUCCUGGGCUUCUCCUCAAGAAAUGUGAGCAAAAACUGAUCAACAAAUAAAUUGUCAAGAUCACAAAGUGCAAAAGAAAAUAUAAAUUCUUGAUACACUAAUUCCUAGAUACGAUCUUGAACAAAGAACAACCAUAUUUCAAAUGAAACUCAACUUGCAGGUAACUGUUAUUUACAACAAACACGAAGUAAACCAAGCAAAAACAACUACAAAAUAAUUGCACUUUAAAAACGAAUUACUAUUGUUUCUAAAAUCAAACGUGCGGUGCACAAAAAGGUGCAAGGUGCAGCAAGAAGCACACAUAAUGAAUGUUACAUUGAAUCAGACAAGUUGUAUUCAAAUAAAUGCAAAACAGAAUGCCCAAGGCUUUUAUGUUAUCUUUUCUUUUUAAAACUUGAUGGAUACAUCCCCAUGAGCGCUACGGUUUUAUAAUAGCCACUGUGGUAAUGUUUUAAAGCUGUUCUCUGUUUGUAGUCAUCAGAAGGUUCAGAAAAAUGGCACCAAAAGAUAAAUUUUAAGGACUCAUUAUUGGCAACAUCUCCUUCAACUAUGAUUGUAAAGAUUCUUAAAUUUUUAAACUCUUCUUGCACAUCCAAAUACUUGUUAAAACUCACCACUUCUGGUGCCUUGCCUCCCAAGGUAGGUGCCUUGUUGCAUAGGCACGCCACAACUAUUUUCUUUUUUUCAAGGUCAUGGAAUAGUGCAGUCAAUUUGGCCCCUUUUCUUCUAAAUUGAACAUAUUUGGUGAUACAUAAGAGUAAGACAGAUGUUUGCAUGUCCAAAUAUAAAAGUAUUUUAUAGAAUUUCACAUGCACACUAGGUCGUGCCUCACUUCACUCAAGUGUUUGCCUUGGGUUGUCCUAAGGCCCCAAGAGAUCUUUGCACCUUGUUCCUUAGGGAACUAUGCACCUGUCAAAGACCUUGAUCUUCCAACUUAACCUUUUUCAUAACAAAAAGUUUCAGAGAAAAUCUUUUAUUACAAUUGCCAAAUCCCAAUAACAAGAUGAGUCAAAACAAAAUCUGGAACCGACUUUAAUUAUAACCAAUGUAUUUGCUUGUGCCAAGACAGAUGAGAUGUUUGCCAAUGUUGAAUCAGGUCAAAAUAGAUUGGGCACUAAUAAACCUACCAGCACAUAUAUAAAUCUAGUAGUAUCAAAUUUACUAAAAUGGCAUGAAGAAAAAGUGACACCUCUGUGUCACUUUUUUAUACUUGUAAAUGGUUCUAUGUAAAAGAAGCAAUUAGACAUCUAGUAAACAAGUGAAACACCAUUUUUCAAGUCACAAUUGUCACCCACUUUGUAGGUAAAAUAGUGCCAAUGAAAGAAAGACACAAAGAUCAAAAAACAUAAUUAAUCAUCUAAUGUUCACAAUAUGAACAAUAAUAUCUUGUUGCAAUGUUUUAAACAAUAAUAAAGAGCAAACCUUGGAUUUUGCUAAGCCCUCAUCCCUUUUAACAGCUUCACUGAUUAAAGUGGUAUGAUCCACCAAAUCAUUCUCAGAAGGUCUGACAUCGUACAAGCUGAAAGGUGCACAACAAAUGUCAACAAUUGCACCUACAAAAAAUAAACUGAAAGAUGAAAGGAUUGAAAACCUAAUAUGAUUACCUGAAAACUCUAGACAAGUGAUCCCAUAAUGAUUUCCCAGAUGUUUCAGGAUUUUUCUUCAUAGAAUGAAGACACCACACAGUUAUCAAGAUAGACCUGAUAAUAUCCUCAAAGCUCUUCCUUGGCUUUUGAAGCUUGAUCCAGUUAUUUUCCUUGGAGAGCACUGAUAUUUCAGGAUUCACAUCGGAAAGAUCAAACUUCCAUGCAAUGACCUGCUUAUAAAUCUUCUGUAGCCCAUUGUCAGCAUUACCAUCCAAGAAAAUAGGUUCCUUCUUGCUAUCCAGGUUGUCACCCUUGCUCCAUUGAAUAGGCAGAACCGAAAAUGAAAUGGGUUCACCUUUGUCAUCUACAAAAUGGUAAUUUGAGACAGACCCUGGCAGAGUCUCACCCUCAUCAUCUGAAGAUGCCAUUCUCUUUAAUUCACAAGCUCACCUCACAGCCUAACAGAACACAUGGACAGAGAAUAAAAAAAUAUGAGAGUGAAGAGACAAUGAAUGCAAUUCCAUCUUUCAGCGUAAAUCAAAUUGGUCCAGAUUCGCCUUAAUGUCUUUUUGGUCAAAAGAAACCAUGAUAUGAAAAUCGGCAAAUGGAAAUAGAAAAUUAAAACAACUUGAUUUCAUAAAAUCCUAAGACACUUGAUAUGUCAUUAUUUUUGGAAGGCUGGUAGUUUUUCUUCCAUUUGUUCAAUAUCAUGGAAUAUAAGAAAUUCAUAUUUUGAAUCCUAAAAAUUUUCAAAUUUAGGGACCCAAAAAAACAGAAAUCUUUGCUCCAACUUCAAACAUAUUCUACCUCAAUUUUCACAGCAACUAAACAGAGGGUUAUGGUUCUGGUACUUACAAGGCAGUCACAAAUUACUUCACAUUCCAUGCAAAAAAAUAAUGUAUAUAUAAGAAAUUUAGAUGCCACAUUGACUUUCUAGGGUUUCAAUGACCGAGAGUAUCAGCGUAACAGCCAGUUUGAUUGAUGAGAAAGCACACCCAAAAAUAAAAAGAAAACGUGAUUCACAAAUCCCAGUCUCCUCAUUGCUAUUCUGGACGAAUAUCCCAUUUUUCCUUCCGUUUGGUUGUUGAGAAAACGCAGGAAAACAAACAAAAACAAAUGAAAUCUUCAAAAUCCUCUUUUUAAAGCUAUAUUGAUUUCCCAUAUACCAAAAUUCUCCUCAGACGAAGCCAAACAAUUGUAAAACGCUCGGUUGGGUGGAAUUUAGAUGUGAUUAAAAAAUAAAAAUAAAAAUUCCCUUAUUCUCCUCUAUUUUCUCGGCAACCCAGCAGAAGCACACAUUGUUCUCUCUCAAUAUUCUCUCCUUUUCUCAGAAACCAAACAGCGACUCAUCGCCGGAAAAGGGUUUACCUUAUCAGAAUACAAACAACCCAGCAGCAAUCGCUUCCUCACCGCGCCCUAAGAAGAGAAAAAAAGGAAGCAGAAUCUCCUCCCGCUUACCGCCCUUCUAUUCUGUCACCAGAGUACAAGCAAUUGAGUUUUGUCCAAACACUCCAUUUUAUAUAAGUCGGUUUUAUAUAUUUGGGAAACACUCCCUUUUCUUUUCUUUUUCUUUUUCUUUCUUUUUCUUUUUUAUUUUGGGCCCAUUUUUUAUUUUUAGAAACUUUCCAUAAAAAAAUAAAUCAAUAUUCUAUAGUAUUUAAUAGUGUCCUAAAAGGUAUGUGCGAAUUUUGGAAAAGAUCUUUUAGGGAUUUGGGUGCAUUGAAUACUAAAAUGUUAUAUAUAUUUUCUAAUUUAUAGAUGUGAUAUCCAAUCUUGGAUGGACGAAAAAAGUUUUGAUAUAAUAUAAAUAUGGUUUCUUUGUGGGGAAGUACUUAUUUGGGUUUAGAGGGAAUUCUAUUUAUACAAUUUGAAACGAGCUAUUACAAAUGAUAUAAAAAUCGAUCUCUACCAUGAUGUGGGGGUUUAUUUGACUUUAUAAGGGAUGUUGUCUAUUUAGUCUCGUAAUCCUAUAAGACACAAUAAGGACAUUAUAUUUUAUAUGGAGAAGUGUUUAUGAUAUUUCACAUGGUAUAGGAGAGCAUUAUAUAAGUAUGGGUUCCUCGCAUUUUAAAGCAGUGAUAACACAUUUAGGUUUAAAGUAAACAAUAUUUACAUGAUUGGUUGUCGUAUCUUAGUUCAUACUAAAAGUAAAUUCAAUUUUCACACUUUUUAUUACCUUUUCUAGUUUGUGGUGAUAAAAACAAUUAAAGAUUUAGUACAAUAAACAUUAGAUUUAUAGUUAAUUUUAAUAUAAUUUUUACAUUUUAGUAGCUUCGUAAUUGGGUUUAAAAAUUUGUAGUCGAUUCACAGUUAAAUGUUGAUAUUAGGUUGAUUUAAUGUGCAUUUAACUAGUAGUUAAUUUUUUGUUAAAUAGGUAUAAAAAUUAAUUACUUACUUUUAGAUGGAACUCAAUCCAACCAACCAACCAACUCAAGUUCAUGAGUCUAACUCAUUCAUCUAUAUUCCAAGCAUAUGUUUACUAAUUCAAAUAUGAACCCUAUAGGAAUAAACUUCAUUCGCAUAUGGGUUGAGCUUCCCCCCCUUACUCCACCUUCAAAUCACAAAGAAAACAACCAUUUAGCUGGGCAGAGAAGCAUGUUAUUCCCACAAAUCAUGUCCUUUCGAGUUUAAGAGUUCAAGGACUAAGCAGACAUCAUCUGAAGAAAAAAAAAAAAAAAACAGCCUUUCUUCCCUUCCAUUAUUCAAAAUUUCCAUCUGCAGAAUCAUAUUAUUCAACAUCAACAAAGUAAUUAUUGUGCAAAGAAUACAUGCAAAACUCCAGAGCCUACCUACAAAAGAGGGUGAAAGGGGGAGGGAGGGGAGAGGAAAAUAAAGUAACAGAUUGUACAGGGUAUGUAUGUAUGUAUUAUCCGAAAAUGAGCAUACUUUUCUAUAAUCGCUGUGGUUUUGUUUCGGUUUGUAAGGUCGAAAACUUUGAGAUAUAACCCACUUGGUUGAAAAUGUAGUUGCACCAUUCACACAAAAGCACUUUAUAUUCAAACUUCAAUCGCCUAUAGGGGUGUCGUCGUUUUCAAUAUGAGAGGAAACUGUGGUAGUGGUAUCAGGAGCCUCGUUUUCAACCUGUGAGGAAACUGUGGUAUCAGAAGCUGCAUCAUCAAUGAUCAAGUUCGAGAUUUCACCACUCAGGGAGCUUUCAUCCUCUCCAUUCACUGAUGCUGAUGGGGAUGCAUCAGGAGUAGUGCUAGUAGUGCUGGCAGUAGUGGCUGCAUCAGCAGGGGAUGAAGAUGUCUCCAACUCUUCAACUGGUUGCUGCAGACUCCAGUACAUGAUACUCGCUGUUAGAGUGAGGAUCAUCUUCUGAUUUACCUGUUAUAAACAUGAGAAAACAUAUUAGAUCAAGAUGUCGUGUUUUUCCAAUUUGUACACAUACGUAUACAGAAAGAAAAUUGAAUCCCUGGAGUUAAGACGAGUGAUGGAGUUGCUGGUGUGUAUUUCCAUGAAUCUGAAUUUAGAACUAGAGAAAUAAUAAAAUCGUGUCCAAAUUCGAAUAAAUUCAUUAUUUUUAUGGACAGAGUUGAACAAUUUUAUUCUUGUGAAUGGAAGCAACUUGUUGAAGUCACAAGGAUAAAGAGAAAAUGAUAACAACUUAGAAUAAAUCUUUGUAUCUGUACAGAAGAAAAUAAAAAAACAAACAAAUCAACAUAAUACAGAUGCAUCCUUACCUCCAUGAUGUCCUCAGGCAACAAGAAAAUAGAACACCCAAGUUUCCUCGCAACACUGAUUAUGUAAGUAGCAUUCAACUUCUUCUCUUCCUCUAUUAUUUCAAUAACAGAAAAACUGAAAUCAUUUAAUCUAAAAAUGGGUUCAUUAUAAUAUUGUUGCAUAUAAAUGAAACACAAAAGGCAUUCAAAUUCAUCCAAUGAAGACGGUUGGAGUCCCUGUUUUCUUGUCCAACCAAAAGAAGGCUUGAACUUUCAGAAAAUAUUCCAUAGAAAGAAAGAAAAAAACCAUACCACUUUCACCCUUAGUAACCAGGUUCCAAUUGACAACCCUUGGCUCCACAGCACUGAGAAGAUCAAGGAAGAAUAUUCCAUUGGACAGGUUCUUAUCCUGAAAAGUAGUUUGAGAGAACAUAAUGAGGUUGAUGAAGCCUGGUUUAAGAAAGCAUGAUUCAUUGAAGAAAUGUAUGAGAUUUUUUAACCUUGAAACUCUCCAUUUGAGAAGUUCUGCCUGUGCGCUUCACUUUGUUAUUUGCCCAUUUCAGGAUAUCAGCAUCAGUCAUCUCUUUCCCUUGGGAGUGGAAUCUCAAGUUCUUUAGGAGCUGGAGCAUAUUAUAUCUCAUCAACUGCCAUAGGAAAGCUGAAACAAAUGUAAACAAGUUGAGCUCUCUGGAUCACUUCUUUUUGCAACAAGUCUGCUAGUUUUCAGCUAAUGACUGAAGCCAUAUCAGCCAGAGUCAGGUGAAGAAAAGAAAAGACAAAGUAUUGAAGUAACAGAACACUUUUUCAGGAGUUCAAAAUGACACAGUAACCACGAUAAUUUUCAAUAUCCACUGACAAAUUUUAUGAAAUGGUGAAAAAUCAACAUCUAAAGAAUAACCCAGAACAGGAAAAUUUAUUAACAUGGAACUGCCAUGCUGUGUGUCUCAGCCUCCAUCUUGUAUAUUUAGAUUAUUUAGUUAUGCAUUAUUAUUUACUUUAUGCAAUGCCUCUCCAUAUAAGGGUCGUUUUAUCUUACAUUACACAUGACCUAAUAAACAAGAAAGGUAUGUAUAGAUUGUUGUAUGUACAUCAUAUGUAACAUUGAGGGACCAAUCAAAAUAAUAUCCAAAAGCAAUUUUCUCUUUGAAGUUCAAAGUUAAUCAAAACAAUUCACAAGGGAUCAAGUUAGAGUUUAUUAAGAGACAUUAAUAACAUGUUUGUAACAGGAUGAUUAUAUAAAUAGUAAAUUUAAUCAGGUAGAAUCUUUAAAAUGGAGACAAAUUGAUAAAUGCAUAACACUGUCUAGCAUAAUGAUGAAUGAUGCCAGAUGCAUGAUAAAAAAUCCUUGAUUCUAGACACAGAUACAACUUGAGAGGGAGCACAUUACCAAGUAUGAGCUUCUUAUUUCCCUGUACAAUAUCUUCUCCAGCUACAUUCACAAGGGAAAAUUUCAAUUGCUUCCCUAUCCCUAUGACUUGAUUGCAGUUCUCUACUUUUCUGAAUGGCAUCUUAAUGGGAGGUUUUGAUGCACGCUUCCAGUUAACAGAUCCUGGAGAAACCUUGUCAAGCACUUCCAAGAGUAUCCAUCUGCAUACAUGAGAAACUAUGGAUCAAGAAAGCUAGGGAAAAGCUUGCAAAAUAUCAAGUUCCAUAAAAUUGUUUCUGCUUUCCAAUUCAAAAAUUAUUUUCACAAUUUGGAAAAUAACUGGGAAGUGUGAAAUUGUGGUAAUGACAAAUUUACAAGAAAAAAUAUGGGGAAAAAAUUGCAGAAUGCAUUUGAGUAGGGGAAAAGCUAUUCAAGUUAUGGAAAGACAUUAAGAGGUCAUGGUAUUAUUCAGGAUAAACAAUCAAUCAGCAUAUUUUUUAAAACUACUUAGGAAUUUCAUAGAAUAUCCAAAGAAUUUGACCACAAGGGAUACUAUUGAUUACAACAGAAACACUCACCCAUUUCUCACAUCCUCAAACAAAUUAUUGACAUAAGUAACAAUUCCAAGACUGUUGAUCCACAGCCUAAAGCAUCUUUCUUCUCUAGAUAUUAGCACAUCAUCUGUCAUCAUCUCUGCAAAGGAAAUAUUUUUACAGUCCGCAGACAGCCCACUCCUGCAAGAGAGAUCAACAUUCUUUCAUCUUAUGCUGUUAUGCAUAUAAUUAAACCACUAAAAUGGCAAGUUAGUGUUCUAAAAUUCUCAAGCAAGACUUCAAAACAGCAAAUAAAGAUAAGAUACUUGACUUCUGGAAGCCAGUCAUUUCUGUAAUCAGAUAAGGAAGAAGGCUAAUCAAUAAGAUUCUGUACUAACUUAUACUAUAUGCUCACAGCUAAUUCCAGUAGCUGCUAUGACACUACCAGCCAAAUAGAAAAGGAAGAACAAAAAGGGAUUUCUACGAAGUCUCAAAAUGUCAAUAAGCUGACACUAUUCAUUUCCCACCUUUGAUGGAAUAUUUGAGCAACAAAUGCAAGAUUUAAAUUUGGUGAGCCUUCAACAAUGUCCUUUGGACUCAAGUAUCGUUUGCAGUCCAUUCUCUCUGCAUGAUCAAGUACCAGCUUUGCCCUAUGAGUGGGAUCCUUUGCGUCCAAGGUUGCUGGACUGCAGUGUUCUGGUGCAAGAACAUUAAGCAGGUAAGCAUAAGCCUCUCCAUCCUGCAUGUUUAUGAGCAUAUGGCAUCAUAAAGAGAAAGCAAUAGAUUUUGAAGCAUUCCAAAAGAAAACAAAAAGUGAAAAAAAAAAAAACACAAAACAAAACAAAAUAAAGGACAAAAAACAGGUUGAUGACUAAAGUAAAUAGAUAGCACUUCACAGGAAAGCAAUUAUGCUGCUGUGAUUUAACAAUUUCAUAAUCGUUGUAGUUACUAAUAAAAAAGGUUAACCAUUGAUAAGAGGCACAAGGGGAACUUGUAACAUUCUGUAGCAAGGUGAUUAUAUUCUCUGAGAAUGUUUGCUAUAAGGAUGCUGCAGUUCCCACUCUCAUUGCCAUAUUCUGAUCUUGAGACCAAAUAUGAACUUUUAAAACCUUUUACCCAUAAUUACAUAAACCUUCUAGAAAUGUAAGGUAUUUCAACUUCCAAAAUAUUUCUUUACUACAAACUCUUUACACAUGAUUUCAGCUAGGAUUAGGUAUCAUAUGGUGAAACUUUUACUCCACUCUCCACCCCAUCCCAAUGGAAAAAUAGAUAGAAGUCGCUACUGGAAAACAAUAGGAGUAGCCAUACCUUCAAAUCAGAAGAAAAAUUUGUAAUGGGCUUCUUGUAGCCAGCUUUCUUAAGGUGGAAAUUCAUCCAUUUCAAUAAAACCUUCUCAGGGGCUAAGCCCAUAAGCUCCUCAACAUCCUGCAACAUUCGAUAAUCUGUAAAGUUGUAUUCUCUAUUGCUUAAUCAGAACAAGCUUGAAAAACUAGCAUUUUGCAAUCAAUUUUAUUUCAGAAAAAUAUAAGACAAAAGCUUGAGGGAUUGACAUUUCAUUACAUUGCCAUCAUCCACCAAUUCCACAAGUUGAGGCGUCUUCUUAAGAUUAAGAUCUGCUAACAGUUGGAUCUGAAGUUGGCACAGUUUGUAAGAAGUUAAUAUGUUUUGAUGGUAAACAUGAGUACAAAAAAAUUGAACACAUUAUACAUAGAAUAUAAUCAUUAUAUGCCCAUCUCUAUUUCUCUAUAUUCAAAAUAUGAAUACUUCAUUCUGUCCUACUUCAGUCCUUAACAUAAAAAGCUAAGAAAACAUGGGCAAAGUUUGGGUACCAACCUUUAUAAUUUGAGAAAUUAAUCCAAGUAGUAGAUGAGGCUGCAAUAUGAACAGACUAAAAUAAAAUCCCUGGGACACCAAAGAGAUCAAUAUAAUCCUAUGGAUAGCUAAAUCAGAACAACUUACUCUUCCUUCAAUCAAGUCCUGUGUCCCAAUGUUCACCACCGUGCAGCCAAUGGCCUUUGCAGAGUUGAGGCAAAGGGUAUGGUUUUCAUUCCUCUCCCAUGGAUUUAGUACCCGUUUGGUGUUAAUAGCUCGUUCAUCUAUUGUCCCUGGCACUGCAACGUUGAUAAGCUUACUGCAUCAAGCCACAAGACAUAUGUUCUUUAUAAGCCACAGCAUAUUCAUUGACAUAACAAAGUAGAGUAUUAUCAAGCAGACCAUGCUUAAGUACCAUAAAAGAACUCCAUCUUUUACAAGAUCAAACAGGUCAUUUGUGGAUGGAUCUAAAGGAAGAUAUUGCUUCAGAAAUGGGUCAUCCCCAAGAUAGCUGUUGAUAUGGGCCACAUAAGAUGCCUUCUCUGAUUCAAUAAUAGUGUGAAGAAGGGUGGUUGUGGUGGCCUUGAGGAAUGAUGAAGAGUGAUUCGAACCACCCAAUUUUUCUGUUCCCCGACCUUGCAAAUUCAGAUAUGCCUGCCAUUCCUCACAAUUGAUCAGCAUUGUACUACUAUUCCUCUAAUCCUAAUACGAAUGCAAAAUGAGUCAUAGUGGCUCACCCUAAGAAAGGCUUCAAAAUCGACCUCAUCAUUCAUGUCUGCACCUGACUCACCCAAGAUUCCUCUAAUCUCCUCCUCUUUAAACAUAUCACUGAAUGCCUUCAAUUUUACCAUUAGAGCUGGCAAAUCUCCUACUGUAACUUUGCCGUUUUGAUUCCUUACCGCCAUAAACUAAAACCCACAAAGAAAAGAAAGCAAUUCGCACAUUAAGAGAACUUAGAGAAGUCACAAAAUCCAUCACAUAACUACCACAAAUCAUAAUUAAUAACAAAAUUCGAUAAAAACACCAUAAUUCAAAAAAUUCAGUAAAUGAGGGAAGGAUGAAGCAUAGUUACCUUGGAUUUCAGGCUUCGAAGUUCCACCUGUGUGAACUGGCUUUGAAGCCAUUGAUCAGAAACAAGAACACCUACAAAGCUAGACAUCUUCGCCGCAGUCGAGUGGAGAGAAACCCAAUCACCCCCUAAAUUUCCUCCACAAACUAAGCAAAAUUGACCCAGACCCAACAAGAAUCUCCAAACGCAGGAGUCAAAAACCGAUACAAGAUAAUCAAAACCUCAAACUCAGAUCCACACACUGAGAAGAAACGACAAGUACACUAACAGCGACUGUCUCCCUUGCACGAAUCUCCAAUCCCUCUAAAAUUUCGCUUAAUCCCUGAUUGAUACACGCAAGAAAACGUGAGAAAAUGCAGGAAAAAACACAUUCUGUGCCAGUGUUUCAUCAACGACACAAAAAAACAAAAGAGACCCGGAUAAAAAGACGUGGAAUUGAAGAAAACCCACGAGCACGAACCUCAAAAAAUCGGAGAUUUGCCUUGAAAUGGACUGGGUUGGCUCCUAGAUUUGACUGUUGUUCAGAUAUUCAACAGUACUGGAAAUUGCGAGGGAGAAAAGAGAGAGAAAGAGAAAGAUUUUAGAGAGAGAAAAAGAUGGAAUUAUAGAGAGAGAAAGAGAUCAAUUUUGCCUUCGCCGAAGAGCAAAGUGAGAAAACGGUUUGGCCUACGGAACCGCAAAGACCAUGAGAGAGAGAGAGCAGCCAGCCUCGAUAGAACUGUCAUUAGGAGCCAUCCGACUGUCACACCCCUACUCCCAAGAGUACAAUAAAUCCAUGAACUCGCUCCCCCUUCCCACCACCUCACUAAAUCUUGGGGUUAAACCUCAAUCUUUGCAUACCAGUCAUUCGAUGCUGACGUGGCAGCUCUUUAUAGGCCCACCAAGAAUCUCAUAUCACCAUUGUAUGACUCAAAUGAAAGUUUGAAUCAUGUCCAAAAUUAUUAAAUUUGGUUCAUUUAAUAAUAAUAAUAACAUUUAUUAUUAUUAUUAUUAUUAUAAUAAUAUUAGUUGGAGUCCAAAAGUUUCCAUGCCAUUUUCUUAAUUGUUAAGCUUUGAUGUGUCAAUUAUGUGGUUUGAAAUUGUAGCUCCUGAUGUUCUGGCGGAACAGAUUUGACUUCCCUCAAUAAUAAGUUGAAUUGCUUUUAUCUUAAUAUUUUCAUGGAUUUAUUCUUAAAAUAUUUUUCAUGAAUUCAUCCGAACCUUGCAACCAAAUGCCUUUUAAUUUUCACUCCAAUAAGAAACUGAAAUUAAAAUGAGAAGUUAUCAUUUUAAAGAAGCAACACUAAGAUGAUGUCUAAUUAAAACCCGACAUAGAUUAAGAGUGUUUUAUUUUUAACUUUAUAGGUAAUUCUUCUAAAAAUUAUAUUUUUUUUAUCUUAUAUAUAUAUAUUCAUAAAAUACUAUUAAAAUACCUUUUUUUUUAUACUUAAAUAUUAAGAGCAUGUUUGACCGUUUGGUUUAAAAAUAGUUUUUUAUUUUUAAAAGUAGAAAAUUGUUUAUAAAUUUUUAAUAGUGUUUGCUGGUUGUUAUUUGGAAACAAUUUUUAUAAAUAAAAUGAAAUAAAAAACAAUUUUUAAAGAGUUGUUUUUAUCAAUUUUUAAAAACAAAAGUUUAUAAAAAAAUGUUUUUAAGUUAAAAAAAAAUUAAAAAACAAGUUUAAGAAACUUUUGUUUUUAAAAAUCUUUGAAAACAACUCCUACUUGUUUUCUAAAAAUUGUUUUUCAUUUCACUUUUUUUUAAAAUGAUUUUUAGAAAACAACCCAUCAAAUAUUAUAAAUUUUUAAAAACAGUUUUUUGUUGUUAAAGAUAAAAAAUUAUUUUUAAAUCAUGAGCAAUCAAGUUUAGAAUCUUUUAAAAAACCGAGAUAUCAAAAUUUUUAUUACCUUAGAUUUUAUAAUUUAAAAAAAUGAUUUUUAAGAAUAUAAAGUAAAUUCAUAUUUUUUUUAGUAAGGAUUCAAAUAAUUUAUAUACCAUUUAUUACUAUUUUUUCUUUCUAAACAUAAAAAAUAGGAAGCAUUUGAAAUGAUAAAUAAUAAAAAAAACGUUUUAAUUAGAAUAUUAGAAGAAAAAAACUAGUAAUAUUGAAUAUUCAUUCCAAUUUUGCCCCUUCUACAAACCAAAUCCAUAACCGUUGUGGUAAUCAUUUCCAAUUCUAUCCCCAUUUAGCCAAAGAAAUUAUGUAUCAUUAAAGGGUGAGUAAUAAAAUUUAAUCCAAAAGAUGUAUCAAUUAAUGAUGGGAAUUUACUCUUCCCCUAAAAAGUACUCUCAGCAGAAGUGAAAUGAUGGCAACGUCAGAUAUAUACAGGCCUGGAAUUCAAAUGUUCAACUCUCAUAUUAAAACCUUCUGCGAAUUGUAAAUGCAAUUUCAGAAGUCAUUUGCCCAUGACUCUGUCUCACACCCACCGCCCAACCGGCCCACCGCCCGCCCACUCCCACUUUGAUUCCUCCACAUUGGAUGAUUUGUAUCAUGGUCUUCGAAGCAUACGACAGCAUCCACUCUAAAGUUUGUUUGUUUCUCUCUCUCUCUCUCUCUCCCAUGGCUUAUUAGGAAAGGAUUCUUUUUAGGUAUAGAAGCUCAUUAUUAUGGUCAAGAAAAAAAAAAUGUUUAGAGCAUGUGGUGUUUGGUAAAUUGAGACUUGGUAAUUUAAUUUAAGUUAUUGAGUAAAAUAAUUUAAUAAUAUGAUUUAAAAUAAGAAAUAAUUUUAAGUAAUAAUUAAUAAAUAAAAUAAUUAAUUUAUUCUUAAAUCUAUAUUUUUAUUUGUUUUACUUAUCUUUAUGAUCUCUUUUGUUAUUCCAUAACCUCCAUUAUUAUUCAAUCUCCUUCCCCCUAAUUAUAAUUUAUGAGGAUAAAUAUAUUAAUUUGAUAAUUAAAAAUAAAUUUUAAGUUAAUUUUAUCGAACAACCUUAAUACUUAAAACAAAAAUUAAGUAAUAGUUUUAAGUUAAUAAUUCAGGUAUAAUUUAAUUUAAAGUUAACUUAAGUUAUUAAGUGAUAAGUGCUAAAUUUUACCAAACACUUCUUAAGAAAAAGAAUUAGGCUAUGUGGGUGUUUGAUAAAUCAAUUUAAUUUUUUGAUUUAUAAAAUUUUGUUCUUGAAUUUUAUCAAACAACUCUUUUUUUUUUUUUUUAUGUUUUUUAUAUUUAAAAUUAUUUUCUAAAAAUAUUAACAAACAGACUUUUAAUAUUUUAUGGAAAGUAAGUAGAAACAUGCACUAGAAAUUUUAUCAUCUCACCAAAAGGAGGUGAUUGAAUGAAUAUCCAGAAUUUUUUUAGAAUUGAAUUAAAAUAAAUUAAAAUAAUUAUCAUUAAUAGGAAUAUCAAGAAAUAUUUUCUAAGUUGAUGUAACUUUAAAUGUAUGUGAAACCAAUGAAUGAAACCACCACCACCACCCAGUGCAGGCACCAUAAAGAAGAACAGUCUUGGAAAAAAACAUAGUUGAUAAGUUUAUUCAAUUUUAUAAUGAAAUUAGUUGCACAAUAAUACUGCCAGAGCAUGGAGCAUGGCUGUUUUUGGCAGGGAAUCAGAUCACUUAUGACAAAAAUAAGCAAUGUCUUUUAGAUUUCUCCAAUAAGAAAUAAUAAAAAAAUCAAAAUUAAGAAACAUAUGUGAAUACAUUUCUAAAAACUAGGGUCAAAAUAUUUUUUGAAUUAUUUUUGAGAAAAUAUUAAAAUAUUUUCCUUUUACAUUUUAGGGUUCUUGUUGUGAUCGCUUGAUAAAAAAUAUAUACAAAAUAGGGUUCAAAUAGAUUUAUAAUAAAAGAUUAAUUUACCCUUAGUUCGAAAAAGACUAAUAAAUAAAUAACUCUAAUAACUCUUAAUAUUUCCUCACAAAUGAUUCGACUAUAAGAAGCAUGAGUGUUUGUUAAGAAAAAAAUGGAAAACACAAAAGCAAGUGCUACUUGGUAAAUAAGUCUUCAAUCCUAGAGAAGAAGAAACAAAAGUCAAAGUAAGAGUGUUAUUUGCAAUCUAAAUAAUGUUUUUAUCGUCACGAUACAUGGAAGUAAGACAAGAAAGAGAAACACCUAUAUCUACAAGUAACUAGUGUGACAAAACUAUUUCAAUGUGGUAGAUGUUGUAGCAUAAUACUUAGCUUCUAUGAAAGAUCGAGAAAUGAUAGUCUAUUUCUUGUUGUUCCAAAAAAUAAGAAAAUCCUAAAAAUAUGUAUGUAUAAAAUCUAGUGGUAGACUUGCAAUUUUAGGAUCACUUACAUCAAUAUAUGCACAUAAAAGAGGAAAUAUUCAAAAGUAAAGUACUUUGAAAUAAAGUGCCUUAGAGACACCCCAAAAUAUGAAAAACAAUAGCCUAAUGAAGAAUUAAAAGUAACAAGUUGUAUAACAAUGUGAAUAAUAUAAGCAAUGUUUGGGCAUGUAAUGUGAGAUAUACCAAGUUUCCAACAAUAUGAUAUAAAGUAGGGUCUAGGAAAGGGAUACCAUGAUAAGAAGAAUACAAACAUUAACUUCAAGAGGAUUAUUAACAGUCUUAGUAUCACUAAGGUCAGCACAAUCAAGAAUGCUAACUGCGUACUUAAAUUGCCGGAAAAGAUAAUAUUUCAAAGAACAAGCUACCUUAAUUCCUAAGAAGUAAUUAGAGAGUUUAAAUCCUUCAUUUCAAAAUGAGAAGCCAAGUUUGAUUUCGAAACCUCAUCAACAUCAUCACCUAUAAUAAUUAUGUCAUAAACAUAUAGAGAAAGUAGAAUACAACUAGUAGUGGUGCAUUUUAGAAAGAGUGCAGGAUCAUGAUGUUUAGGGCAAAAGCCAAGAAAAGUAAGUAUAUCAUAGAACUUCAUAAAUGAAGCACAAGAUACUUGUUUGAAACCAUAUAAAACUUUCUUGAACCUACAAACUUCUCCAUGGUUAUAAGAAACACUAGGAGGAGACACCAUGUAAAGACUUCUUCUUGAAGAUGUCCAUUUAAGAAGAUAUUUUUAACAUCCAUAUGAGAUAUGUGCCACUCAUGAACAAAGCCAAUUGCAAUAAGAAUAGCAUAGUAGUCAUCUUUGUAACAAAAAAAAAUCCUCAUAAUCCAUACCAUAUUAUUGAGAUAAUCCAUUAGCAUCUAAUCGAGUUUUGUACCACUUAAUCAAAUCAUAAAACUUAGUUUUGAUUUGAAAUCCAAUUGUACUCUUACUAGGUUGUAAAGGUACUAAAUUUCAAUGUAAACCUUCCAUUUUGUUCAUUUAGCACAUGCCUUAUUAGGUGUUCUUUCAAUACUCCUUAGUAAUCCUUAAUGGCCCAUUACUACUCAUACAAAUUACUUUUUUUGAGCCACCUUGGAGACUUCGAUUGGGAGAUUUAUCUAGCCCCUCAUUGUGACCAUUUGUCACCCUAAGUUAGAUAUAGGAUUUUCCUUUUUAUUAUUUUUUAGGAUAGCUCAUUUUGAUGCACCUUUAAAAUAGCUUACUUUGGCAUAUCUAGGUACAUUUUUUUUAGGCACCCUUCUGAUUUCCCUAGGUUACUUAGGCAUUUUUCUGAUCCCCUUAGAUCACUUCGGUACCAUCCUAGGUCCACCUAAGCUCACUUAGGUCCAUUUAGGCACAUCUAGCCCAUUUAGGAUUACCCUAACCUAUUUAGGCACAUUUGACCCAUUUAUGAUCAUCUUAACCCAUUUAGGGUCACCCUAGUCCAUUUAGUAAUCUCCGAUCCAUUUAGGAUCAGUCAUGCCUAUUUAGGCACAUUUGGUCCAUUUAGAAUCACCUAGGCCCAUUUAGGCACAUUUGACCCAUUUAGAAUCGUCAUUUAUUAAAUAGUUAGUUUUUUCACUAAGACAUUCAAAGAAAUCAAUAUCUAUCAAAGUUGGAUCAAAUAUGCUACUAUUAUAUAAAUUAAUUUUCAUCUAUUUCAUUUUAACCUUUAAUAAUAUAUGGUAAAAGUUGAAUAAAUAUUUGAACAUAUGAUAGGUAUGUACCAACACCCUUUCCUAUCACACCCAUAACAAUUCUCAAUAUUGUUUCACUUCUAAUGAUAUUGUGUGGUUUAUUUUGUUAUGUCAACUUUCACUUUAAUAUUAAUAAUCAAGGAGUGAGAUUUGUAUUUGCUUCUAAGGAUUAACAUUACAUUCGCAUUGGGGAAUGAAAUUGCUUCCUUGUGUAGAUCUAAGCUAUACCAAUAUAUGAAAUUUAUUUUCUUUAAAUAACUUUUGGCUAGAAUUUGCAAAUCGCUUUUGGUUAUAAGCAUGAUUUUUACCUAGUUUUUGUCUAUAAGAAUAAUAUUUACAUAGCUUUUGGCUACAUAAUAAUUUGUGGAUAACACCCGACAAUAAUGGUAUUGGAUGAGAUUUGUAUAUAGCUUUUGGUUAUGACGAAACAAAAUAAUUUGUUUAUAACUUCAAUUUUUAUAUAAUAAAAUAAACAUUAAUAGAAAUAUAUAACAUAUAUUCUACAUUAAUAAUCUUAAGUUUAAGAUAAAUAAAUUAUGUUAAGAUAUUAGGAAUGUUUAGAUAUUAGAAAAGCUGAGAUAUUAUGAAUAUUGAGAUAUUAGGAAUAUUAAGAUAUUAGGAAAGUUGAGAUAUUAGGAUAUUAGUUGUUAUUUUCUUAUAUCAUUCUUUCCUUGUAUCAUUCUUUCUCAUUCUUAGAAUGAUGAUUACCCUCUAUAUAUACUCUGUAUAUGAACGAAUGAAAUAAUGAAUGAAAAAACUACCAUUUAUCAAUUUGAAGAUGGUAUCAGAGCCAUGGAACUGAAAUCCUAGAUAUUUUGUCGCUAUGGUAGUCUGACAGCGAUCAACCAUCCUAAGACAAGCCCUAAUAUUGAUAAGUCAACCUUCAAAUGCACUCACUGCAAUAAGACUGGUCCCACCAGUCUGGAUAUCCCACAAUUUCAAAGCAACGACUCUUGGUAUGACCAGGAAAACAAUGAGGAACCGAGAGUUUGAACCAUGGACCUUUAGAUCAUAUUUAGGCUAUCAACACUUUGUUAUUAAUGAUAAUAAUCGUGAUCAACAGAAGAAGGAUUUCAAGAAAACCUCGACUGCGACUGUUGCCGAAAUAAAAAUAGAGGUUAAUGUUGCUGAGAAAGCCUCUGCAUUGGUAGCCGCUACUGAUCAUGGUGGUAAGUUUUUAAAUACUUUUACACCUGUCAUUAAUAGUGCAUGGAUAAUUGAUUCUGGUGCUACAGAUCAUAUGACUUUUGAUUCUAGAUAGGUUUCACCCCUUAGACUUUCCUCACAAAAAAUUGUUUCCACAGCCAAUGGUAACACAACCUCAGUCAUUGGGGAAGGAUCCUUAACUCUUACUGAUACUUUGAAUUUGGAUUCUGUUUUAGUUAUUCCAUCUUUAGAUUACAAUCUUUUGUCAGUUUCUCAAAUCACUGCAGUCUUAUCUUGUAUUGUCAUUUUUUGGCCUGGAUUUUAUGUGAUUAAGGACAUCCAAACAAGACAGACGAUUGGUUGUGGUAUUAAACGGAGAAAACUCUAUUACUUGGACUUACAGUCAAAGGAUUCAAAUAAGUUGCAACAAGCCUUGAUGGCAGAUGGAUCUGAGGAGGAGAAGAAAAAGUCUGAAAUUUGGUUAUGGCAUCGACGUCUGGGACAUGCUUCCUUUGGUUAUUUAAAAAAAUUGUUUCCUAGUUUGUUUGCAAAGAGUGAUAUUUCUGGUUUCCGUUGUGAUAUUUGUGAAUUGGCUAAAAGCCAUCGUGCUUCGUUUCCGUUAAUUUUGAAUAAAAGUUCGUUUCCUUUUAUGCUUAUACAUUAUGAUGUUUGAGGCUCAUCCAAAGUCCUAACUUUGAGUGGCUCCCGUUGGUUUGUUACUUUUAUUGAUGAUUGUACCAGAAUGACAUGGUUAUGCUUGAUGAAGAUCAAAGAUGAAGUGAACUUGUUGUUUAAAAAAUUUCAUAAAAUGAUUGAAACUCAGUACAAUGCAAAGGUUCGGGUUCUACGUAGUGAUAAUGGUGGAGAAUAUCAAAGUUCUGAUCUUCAAAAGUAUUUGGAAGGACAUGACAUCAUUCAUCAGACUACUUGUUCCAAUACACCCUAACAAAAUGGAGUCGUUGAACGAAAAAAUCGGCACUUGUUAGAGGUUGUUCGUGUUUCCUUGAUAGCAGCAAAAACUCCGAUAUCUUAUUGGGAGAAGCAAUCACAUCUGCCGCAUACUUGAUCAAUCGGGUACCUUCUAUCUCAAUUAACUUUCAAACAGCUCUCCAAGCUCUUACUAAUGUCGUAGUUGCCCCAACCGUCCCAAAUCUACCUCCUCGUGUUUUUGGUUGCGUGACAUUUGUGCAUCUACACAAGCACCAACGCACCAAGUUAACUUCCCAUGCAUUGCAAUGUGUGUUUGUUGGAUAUGCAUUGCACAAAAAGGGAUAUUGAUGUUACCAUACUCCAACUCGACAAAUGUAUAUUACAAUGGAUGUGGUGUUUCAUGAAGAUUCGAUGUAUUUUUCAUCUGAGUCUGAACUUCAAGGGGAGUAUCAUAAGGAAAUUCAGACUCUCGAUUAUGAUUAUCAUAUCUUUGAGGAAGAUGAAUUUAGACAAUUUGAACUAGUGAACCAGGAAACGGGUGAGUUGGAUGAGUGGUUAACAAUUUGGGUCCGAAGAUGUCUUCACUGAAAUACCAAACCAAUCGUCGUCUGUUGAGGGUAUUCUUAAUUUGGAACCUGAUCCAUUCAUGAAACGGUUACCACACCGUCAUAAUAGAUGUAUUCCUAAACCCACAUAUGAGCCUGAAUUAUCUACCAAAGUCAAAUAUCCCAUAAGCAACUAUGUGUCUAACCAUCAUUUGUCUAAAUCAAAUAAGUCAUUUGUAAAUCAAAUAUCUAUUGUAGCUAUUCCUAACAGUGUGUAGGAAGCCUUAGCUGAUCCAAGGUGGAAAGCAGCCAUGAAUGAAGAGAUGAAAUCAUUGCAGAAGAAUGAAAUAUGGGAACUCGUAGAAUGUCCACCAGGAAAGAAGCCAGUUGGGUGUCGUUGGAUCUAUACUGUGAAGUACAAGGUAGAUGGUAGUAUUGAACGAUUUAAAGCAAGACUGGUAGCAAAAGGGUACACUCAAACUUAUGGAAUUGACUACACAGAGACAUUUGCACCUGUAGCUAAGAUCAAUACAGUUCAAGUAUUACUGUCUUUAGCUGCAAACCUAGAUUGGCCAUUACAACAAUUCGAUGUGAAAGAUGUCUUUCUGUAUGGCGAGUUAUCUGAAGGAGUAUAUAUGGAUCUUCCACCAGGAUGCAUGGUGUCAGAAAAGCAAUGUCAGAAGGUGUGCAAAUUGAAGAAGUCAUUGUAUGGGUUGAAGCAAUCCCUGAGAGCAUGGUUUGGAAGGUUCACAAAGUCAAUGAGAGCCUUUGGCUAUCGUCAAAGUAAUUCAGAUUACACUUUGUUCCUGAAAAAGCAACAUGGUAAGAUUACGACACUCAUCGUAUAUGUGGAUGACAUGGUAGUUACAAGAAAUGAUCCUGAAGAAAGAAAAACUCUGCAAAAUUAUCUAUUUAAAGAAUUCAAAAUGAAAGAUCUAGGUUCUCUGAAAUACUUUCUUGGGAUUGAAGUUUCUCGAUCAAGUGAAGGAAUUUUUCUGUCUCAAAGAAAGUAUGUCUUAGUUCUUUUACAGGAGACUGGAAUGUCGGGAUGUCAACCUGUUAAUACACCAAUAGAAGAAGGUCUGAAAUUGUGUGUUGAGCCUAAUCAAGUAUCAACCGAUAAGGGAAGAUACCAGAGACUUGUGGGGAGAUUAAUGUACUUAGAUCAUACAAGACCAGAUCUUGCUUAUGCAUUGAGUGUAGUGAGUCAAUACAUGCAUAAUCCUGGAGAGCAACAAAUGAAUGCAGUCAUGCGUAUUUUGAGGUAUUUGAAGAAUGCUCAUGGGAAGGGAAUUUUGUUUGCUAAAAAUGUUGAUUAUCAGAGUAUAGAAGUAUAUACUGAUGCUGAUUGGGCCGGUGCAGUGGAUGAUAGGCGAUUUACAUCUGGUUAUUUUACCUUUGUAGGUGGUAAUCUUGUGACAUGGAAAAGUAAGAAGCAGAAUGUCGUCGCUCGUUAAAGUGCAGAAGCGGAAUUUAGAGGUAUGACUCUAGGACUUUGUGAGACAUUAUGGCUAAGACUCCUCUUACAGGAUUUAGGUUACCUAUCUAGGCAACCAAUCCGAUUGUUUUGUGACAAUAAAGCUGCAUGUGACAUUGCUCAUAAUCCAGUACAACAUGAUCGUACAAAGCAUGUUGAGGUGGAUAGAUUCUUCAUUAAGGAAAAGUUGGAUGAUAAGAUUGUGGAAUUGCCUAAGAUUCGAUCAGAAGAUCAAUUGGCCGAUAUCCUUACCAAAGCUGUCUCAAGUCAAGUGUUCUCAAAAUUUUUAGACAAAUUGGGCAUGUGUGACAUCUAUGCACCAACUUGAGGGUGAGUGUUGAGAUAUUAGGAAUGUUUAGAUAUUAGGAAAGUUGAGAUAUUAUGAAUAUUGAAAUAUUAGGAAUAUUGAGAUAUUAAGAAAGUUGAGAUAUUAGGAUAUUAGUUGUUAUUUCUUUAUAUCAUUAUUUCCUUGUAUUAUUCUUUCCCAUUCUUAGAAUGAUGAUUACCCUCUAUAUAUACUCUAUAUAUGAACAAAUGAAAGAAUGAAUAAAAAAACUACCAUUUAUCAAUUUGAAGAAAUUAUCCUUAAAGCAAUUUGUAUCGAUAAUAUGUUAUAAAAUUAUAAAUAAACGAGAAAUGAGAUAAUAUAAGGUAUAUAUAGGAUAAUGGGAGAAUGAGAGAAGGAACUUAAGUUAAGGUGACUUUUUUAUUUGGGGUGUUUUUUUUUUCUUUCCAAAAGCUUCUUAUAGGCUCAUAAAAAUUGAAAAUUUAAUAAUGCCUUUACUUAUUUGUGUUAAAGAUGAGUAUUAAUGGAGGUCCUAAUGUGAGAUAACUUAAUGAGAACAUAUAGUUAUGUAAUACUCAUACAUAUUAGGAAAAUAAAAGGUUUGAGAUUCAUUCGAAGUUCCUUCUCGAGUGCUAGUUUCAGCAUAUCCUAGAAGCAAUGGAAAUAUUGAAAGUGAAAAAAAAGAAUACUAUAAGUAAUACGUGGUAGGGGUAACAUAUAGGAUUCGAUAAAAAUAAUUUAAAAAUAAAAAUGAUGGCCACAUUUGGUAACAUAAAUGAGUUUACAAUGUAGUUUAUAAGAGUUUCUUUAGAGUUACAAUUUAUAGGCACUUUAAGGGAUUUUUUUUUUUUUAAAUCGGACUUUUGGGCCAGAGUAACUAAGGGUCCAUUUAGUACCUGUUUUUUAGGAACAAUUUUUUAUUCUUUAGAACAAAAAAAGAAAAAAAAAAAAGAAAAUAUGUUUGAUAACUAAUUUUUUUUUCUAUUUUCUAUUCUUAAAAACAAAAAAUAGGAUAUUUAAAAAAAACAUUUUUUAGUUGUUAUUUAUUUAUUUAUUAUUUUUACUUAUUUUUUAAUAAUUGUUUUAAAAAAUAAUUAUACAAAUAUAAAAAAUGAUUAAAAAUAAAACAUUAGAUAUAAAAAUUAUUUUUAAAACAUAUUUAAUUAAAAAUAGGUUAAAAAAA